CAGGGAUAACCUAUACAAGUUUAUGCUUCGGAUGAAAGAUGAAUCGGGUGCUUUCAGGUACACAUCCUAUCGGCCUAAAAAAUGGAUGAAAAUCACUAGUUUCUCAUAUAUAGCUCGUCCUGAGCUGAUGCCGGCCACUCAUUUUUUCUUCACCAUAGAAUGCAUGAUGGUGGUGAAAUUGAUGUUCGGGCUUCCUAUACUGCUAUAUCGGUGAGUUUUCUGUAGUCCUUCACGAUUUCUUUGCAAUUAUCUGAGAUAUCCUCAUGUUGACACUAGGUGGCCAGCCUCGUAAACAUUCUCGAUGUGGAACUGGCAAAAGGUGUUGGUGAUUACAUAGCAAGGUUCUGUUUGUUUAAUACGACCGUCAAUUUUUCAAUUGCAAAAAUUGUUGUUGCUUAGUUGCAGUCCCUUUUUAUUGAAUGAUUGCUCAAUCCAUGUACCGUAUGACUCCAGAUGUCAAACUUAUGAAGGUGGUAUUGCUGGGGAACCUCAUGCUGAAGCUCAUGGUGGGUACGUUUCUGACUAUUUCUGUUACUUUUCUAAUUUAUCUGUUUAGAACAUUAAGUGAAAGCUGCUUUCUAUAAAGGUACACGUUCUGUGGGUUGGCUGCUUUGAUCCUGCUUAAUGAGGCAGAGAAACUUGACUUGCCUUGCUUGAUAGUAAGACAACCUCUUCCUCCGUCUUUAUUUAGUUUUACUUCUACUAUGAUGUGUGUAGUUAUGUGACUGACUUUAUUGUUUUUAGACCAUGAAGUCGUUCAUUUAGGUCCUUUGGUUACUAAAUGCACGAAAUGUAGUUGAUAUGUAUGUGUUUGGUGAUAAAACAUUUUUUUUCUAUUACAAUACCAAUUGGCAUUGCUGCUGACGACUUCACCACUUAGGACUGGGUGGCCUUUCGUCAAGGAGUGGAAUGUGGAUUUCAAGGACGAACUAAUAAAUUGGUUGAUGGUUGCUACUCCUUUUGGCAGGUAAUGGCUUUCUAAGGAUAUUCAUUUAUCUUUUCCACAUGUUGCAUUCCAUAUGACAGAAAUAUACUGUGUCACCAGGGUGCUGCCAUUGCUUUAACACAAAAGCUAGUUAUGAUUAUUGACGAGCAAUUGAAAUUAUCAUACUCCUGCAAAAAGCCAUCAGGAGAGGAUGCAUGUGGCACUAGUUCAUCUGGGUGCACUUCAGAAAAAUCUUCCUCUGGUAAGACUCAUGAUUGUCCAUAUUUUUUUUCAUGAAAUGAAAAUAGUAGUUUAUUUUUUUGUUUAUGGUAAGUUCAAAACUACUUUAUUGUUCCUUGCCAACAAGAGAGAGGGAGGGCAUACCAUGCAGCAAUGCACUUACAACUUAAUCCGGCAAUUUAGGCUGUAUGAUUGCUAUUAGAUUGGUGAUCAAAUUGUACCAGUAAUCUAUUUUUAGAACCUUGAUCUACUUACUACAGAUUAAUGUCAAUGUCUCAUACUGUUUAUACAAUUUUGUGCAUUUCAAUGUCUUUAUAUGCUCCAUUUUGUGUCACCGUUCUCAUGUAUUUUGCCUUUUCUUCCCCGAAGCUGUGGAUUAUGCAAAGUUUGGAUUUGAUUUUAUUCAACGGAGCAACCAAGUUGGCCCACUUUUCCACAACAUUGCCCUGCAACAAUACAUCCUGCUUUGUGCUCAGGUGAGAUAAACUAAUGCAAUGCCUUUUUUCUGAUAUGCAGAGUUCUCACCAGAACAUGAAAUUUGUAAUGCCGUGUUAUCAUUUAAAGUUUCCUCAAGUAACAUCUGAAUGCAACCACUUCUGUAAAUCAGGUUCUAGAGGGAGGAUUGAGGGAUAAGCCUGGAAAGAACAGAGAUCACUACCACUCAUGCUACUGCCUCAGUGGCCUCUCAGUUAGCCAGUACAGUGCCACGACUGAUUCUGAUUCAUGCCCCUUACCGCAGCAUGUGCUUGGCCCAUACUCCAAUUUGCUGGAGCCCAUCCACCCACUCUACAAUGUUGUACUGGAUAAAUACCAUACAGCCUAUGAGUUCUUUUCACAAGAGUGAUGGUCUGAAAUUUUAGAGCAAAUUUGGCUGGGGCAAAUGUGUGAUUGUAUUGUUUGCACGGAUAGGAUUGGCCCCAAGUAUUGUGACAUUAUAUUUUUGGUAUGCAUACCUUAGUCAUGUUCUAUCAGGCUAUUGUAUGCUUGGUCAGUUGCAUUGCCUGGUUUUGAUGAUCUUAUCUCAAUUUCGGUUACUAGUUUUUUUUUUAGUAUUGGUGUAUUGCCUGGUUUUGACUUUUGAUUGCCUCAUCUCAAUUUCUGUUACUGGCGUUUUUGAGUAUUGGUGCAUUGCCUGGUUUUGAUGAUCUCAUUUCAAUAUGUUACUGGUGUUUUUUGAGUAUUGAAAAAAAUCUAUCAUCGAAAUGGGACGUAGAUUGGAGUUAGAGUCGAGCCGUGUAUAUUUUACAUACAAUAGACUUGCAUAGACCCUUGGUGUGGUACAAUUGUACAAAUGUGCCAAGACGCGCGAGUGUUGCUAGUCUGCUAGAUGGUAGUAGGCGGGUUAGUCAAGCAAAACAUUGUCAAUGGUAGAUAGGAGGCGAUUUCGGAGACACGAUGUUUAGAGGCCAGCGACGCUGCUAUAUUUUUGCGAAGGAUGAGUAGGUAUCUGAAGCUUCAAAUUUUCGUACUAUUUAAACCCAUCAAACUACCAGCAGCAUCUUGUGAUCUCCGUCUCGCACAGACAAGCUUGGGCACUCCAUCGGUACAUUGGCAGUGAAGUUCCCAGCGGCUCCUUUUCUUUUCUUCUGUUUUAGGUACCGUUCGGUUUCGGAGGAUUAAAGUUUUCUAUCAUAUAAAAAGAUUUAUCAUUUAGAAGUAUUAAAUAAAAUCUAUUUAAAAAACUUUCUAUAAAUAGAUGCUAAUUUGCAAGACGAAUUUAAUGAGCCUAAUUAAUCUAUAAUUUGCUACAAUGAUGCUAUAGUGACCCUCCGCUAAUCAUAAAUUAAUAUAUUUUAUUAGAUUUGUCUCGUGAAUUAGCAUAAGAGCUUUACUAUUAAUUUUUAUAAUUAAAUUUUAUUUAACAUGUACCAUUAAAUAAUAAUUUUUUUGAUGUAUUAGGAUUAAAGUUUAGACCUUCGAAUCAUUUAUAUAUGUAAAAAAUUACCCAAGGAUCUUGACGCCUGAGCGAGAAGAUCAGAAGACGACUCGUGGGCGUUGGCUGCCUCGAGUAGUACACAGCACUGCGGCGGACAGGCAGGUCAACUUGUGAAGAAAGUCUUUGCGGUCAGAGAGACACAGACCGAUGGCGUGACUUGUAGAACAAAGGUUACUGCCACGGCUGCAGGGUUCAGGCAUCAGUGGCGUGUAGCAACGAGGCGACGUGCCUGCCUUCUCGACUUUUUCCUGCCUGUAGGAUAAGCAGUUAAGCACCAAGCUGCCAGCCUGCCAUUGCCGCUUCCACUCUCCCUUUUUUCCUUUAGGUACUGUUUUUAGGUAGCGUUUGGAUUCAAGCGUAAAAGAGUAAAAAUUUUAUUAUUCGCCAAAAGUGGCAAAAGUUUUACUAUUACAGAUGUUUGGAUCUAAAUGGCAAAAGUUUUGGCAAAAACUCAUUUAAACCUCUUUUCUCCUUUUUACCAUAGAGUGUUUGGAUCCAAAUGGAAAAAGAAAGAGCAAUUUUUUUCUGUUUCCUUUUGCUAUCUGUUGUUGCUGUUUCCUUUUUGCCACAGGGUGUUUGGGUCCAAAUAGAAAAAAAGAGCAAAUCUUUUGCUAUUUGCCCUUUUACCGAAGGAUCCAAACAGGCCCUUAAUCGCCGACUAGCAGUUUGCUGAAUUACACUGCACACCGUCGUGAAAUGUGAAUUAGAGUACCAAACGGCCGAAGAUUAUAGCGUCCAAGGGUGGUAAGGCUAUCUCCAACCGUCGUUCUCUAUAUCCUUCUCUAUAUUCUUCAUUUACAGAAUUCUCUACAACAUUCUCUCCUCUAUAUCUCAUUUUUCUCCAACAAGGUUCUCUAAAUCUCGUUCUCUAUACAUUAAAUCCUAUAUUAGAAACGUAUUUUAUUUCAAAUUUUUGUACGUACGUAUUUAUCAUACCUCAAAUGCUAUGGAUAUAUUUUAUUUUUAUUUAAUUCAGUGUUUAAAACGUAAAGAAAAAAUAGAGAAGAGGAGAGAGAAUCUCUAUAUAUAGAGAAAACCUAUAACGUUCUCUAUUUUAGAGGACCAUUUACAGAACGCACGCUGCUGGAGCAAUAGAGAACGGUUUAGAGGACAAUAGAGAACGGUUUAGAGGACACCGUUGAAGACAGCCUAAUGGCUGCACAGAUCCUGAAAUCCUCGUCGCGCGGAUGCUUAAAACAGCUUUCACUCAUCAUGGUUGCAGUGGUCAGUUAACCCCCCUUGCCUUCUUCCCAGAACCUGGUGAUGGAAUGGAAACUGUAGAUCCCGUCGACGGCGUCCACGAGGUGGUCACGCCGAGAGCCACGGGCACGAUUAGCAGCGACACGAACGUGACCAGAGACAGCGCCAUUCACCGUGCUCUCACCGGAAACAACUCGCUCCAUGAUCCACACAAUCCAGGCAACCGACAAUAACUACUCCGGCCAACACGAGCGAGCGAUUUAAGGAUAACAAAAGCAGAACAAUUACAUGCCAAGAGUUGCAGAUUAAAAGGCCCUAACGACGCGGAAGCGGAACAGAGGAGGGACGCUUGGCAACACGAACAAAGCUACGAAACCGGACACACACAGACACGGCACAGCCCUUGAGCCUAGAGUCCCUAGUAGUCGCCGUCGUAGAGCCUCCGGCCGACCUCGAACGAGGCGAACGCGUCGGCGCAGGCGUACAUGAGCUGGUCGUAAGAGAGCGCGGCCGCGUCCCAGGCGCUCACGCGCACGUGGUGCGGCUUCUCCAUCUGCACGCCCAUCACCUCCAGCACCAGCGCCUGCAGCCCCGCGCGGAGCAGGUCGGGCCUCCCGAGCGCGUCGGCGGCGAGGCGUCUCAGGUCCACCGCGCUCGCGACCCGCAGCCCGUACCCGGCCCGCAGCUUUGCAGCGUCGUCGCGGAUCCCGACGCCGACGAAGGUGAACCGGCGGUCGGCGAGGAAGGCGGACAGCUUGGCCGGGACGUAGUCGGCGCGGAGGAUCUGGAAGACGAGGCAGCGGUGGUCGACGCAGACCUGCAGCACGGCGACGGGGCCGGGCGGCGCGCGGCCGGCGGGGCGCCACUCCACGUCGAGGCCGGCGACGUGGCCGCGGCGGUGCAUGCGGUAGGUCUCGGCCACCCACCAGUCCACCACGUCGCCGGAGUCCGUGAGCGUCGUGUCGAUGUAGUCCUCGUCGAACGACACAACCGUGGUGCCGUCCUCGUAGUAGCCCUGGAUCUCAGUCGCCAUGGCCCUCCGGUGCUCUCUCUCUCUCUCUCUGUGGGCGUUACUGAAAACGGAGGAUAUGGGGCACGAUGGGGGAGGCGGUUAUAUAGGCCGGGCCGGGAACAAAGGGCGUUGCGGCUUCCCUGACCGGGCCCGCUCGUAAGCGACAGUUCAUGAAUGGGUUGUUCACCGUGCUCCUGGAUCGGGGUCGUGGCCGAGUGGAGAUAUUUGCUCGAGCAUAUACGACGCCGGGCUGACAAGGCGGGCCGUGGUGCGGUUCCUUCGGGCCCACCCUGGCAGUGGAACAAAAAUUUUCCAGGCUCCAUCCUCAUCCUGUUCCUCUCGCGGCCUCGGUGACCCUUCUUUGUUCCCAAGACGCGUCAGUUCUGACUACCGCCAGGUGUCAAGGUACGCAGCCCGCAAGUACAGCACUGAGUACUGACUCUGAAGCUGAGCGACAGACAGGUCAUGAGCAAGAAUCUUGCUGUGCAAGCCUGCGCUGCGACUGGAAGCGUGCCCAACUAGUUUGCACACUUCUCUCAUCCGUUUGGUGGUUCUCUCACCCGUUUGGUGGUUGCUUUUUAGCUAGUGGAUCGAAAGUGUAAAAAGGUAAAAGGGUAAAAAUUUUACCAUUUGUUAAAAGUGGUAAAAGUUUUGGCAUUAGGGGUGUUUGGAUCCAAAUAGUAAAAGUUUUGGUAAAAGCUCAUUUAAACCUCUUUUCUCCUUUUUAUCAUAGGGUGUUUGGGUCCGAAUGGAAAAAAAGAGCAAAUUUUUUGCUGUUUCAUUUUGCUAUCUGUUUUUGCUGUUUUCUUUUUGCCAUAGGGUGUUUGGGUCCAAAUAAAAAAAAAGAGUAAUUUUUUUACUAUUUACCCUUUUGCCAAAGGAUCCAAGCACCCUAUGUUUGGAGUAGAUCAUGACUGAUACCGAGCGCAUGGAGUAGAUCAUGACUGAUAGCAUGGAUGACAAGCGCAGAAAUAUGUUCCUACCUUUUGAAAUUGUGAGAGAUUUUAAAUUUUAUUUUAAAUCAUACAAUAAUAACUGACCAAAUUAAUAGAGGAAUUAGAUCGGAAUCCUUAACAUUAAAUUAGAUUAUAUUAAUUUACCAUGAUGUACAAUGUAUUUAUUUGAUAUUGUUGGUGUUACUAAAAUACAAUUGAAACAUUUUAUAUUUUAGAAAAAUAACCAUGAACAGCAAUAGCGACCUCAAGUCUCAAGAACCAUGGCAAAACUGUUGCAGUAAUUUGUUUUCCCCUUUGUAGUAGUACACGAUUUACAAAAGAAUUAUUAACAUAUAUAUGUGGGUAAAAGAUGGCGUUUGAAUAGUGUUAAUUUGUGCAUGUUAAAGAUUUUUCCAAAAGAUCGUAACUACUAUCUCCGUCCUAAAUUAUAAUUUAAAAUUUAUUUUAACUCUCCGUUCUAAAUUAUAAUUUACUUUUAACUCUACUGUGCAUCGAGACGUACUUAUAUCCAUAUAUAACGAAUUGUAAUUAGGACGGAGGAAAUACCCGCUUAGUUUCUAGUACAAGUACAAAGUGUUAAUAGAAGAUGGAUUAAGGAAAGCGCUACUAGCUUUCAAUUCACAUAACCAUACAUGUCAUCGUUUCGGUAAUUCCACGGCAAUUAGCAAACAGUUACCAAAUGCAACCUAAGAUGACGAACGCUAAUCACACGCAGUUCAAAUGCGACAAGCCAUCGAAGCAACCAACCAACGUGACUAGCAUGGCUCCCACAAGAGUUUGCGACGCCUAACGGCUUAAGUAGUAAUACCCUAGCUAGUCUAGUAGUCGCCGUCGUAGAGCCUCCGGCCGACCUCGAAGGAGGCGAACGCGUCGACGCUGGCGUACAUGAGCUGGCUGUAGGACAGGCUGCGCGCGUCCCACGCGCUCACGCGGACGUGGUGCGGCUUCUGCAUCUGCACGCCCAUCACCUCCCACACCAGCUCCUGCAGCCCGGCCGAGCGCAGCGCGGGGUUCCCGAGCGUGUCGGCGGCGAGGCCGCGCAGGUCCUCGGCGCACCCCACCUCGAGCCCGUACCCGGCGCGCAGCUUGGCGGCGUCGUCGCCGAUCCCGACGCCGACGAAGGUGAAGCGCUCGUCGGCGAGGAAGUCGAAGAGCGAGCCCGGGAUGUAAUCGGCGUGGAGGAUCUGGAACACGAGGCAGCGGCGGCCGACGCAGAGCUGCAGCAGCGCGACGGGGGGCGUGUAGUAGUGGCCGUAGUGGGACGGGCGCCACUCGACGUCCAGGUCGACGACGAGGCGGCGGAGGCGGCGCCGGUGGACGCGGUAGAUCUCGUCCAGCCACGAGUCCACCGUGUCGCCGCUGUCCGCGAGCGUCGUGCGGAUGGCGUCCUCGUCGAAGGACACCACGUAGUGGCCGUCGUCGUUGGCGGAGCAGAUCGAGGUAGCCAUCUCCUCUCCUCCUCCUGUUCCGGCGAUCGAUCUCCCUCUCCGCGGCGUUGUUUAGGGAGAUCAGAUUGGGUGGCGGCAAUGUGGGGCGAUAUUUGUAUAUAUGGAACCGCCGCAGCGGCGCGUGGGUGGGUUUUCGUUUGGAUGGAGAGGGAUCUCGCUUUGCGUCGACGGCCGUGGGAGCACCCUGUCGUCGCGCUAUUAUCGCUAAUAAAUAGUACGUGGCUUGCCUUUACACGCUCACUGAUAACGUGGUCCCACCUACGUUUCCCGUGCUGGGGCCCGCUUGUAAGGGACGGUAGUAUAAACUUUCGUAUUUGUUGAUCGUAUCUGGCCGAACGGAUAAACGGGAGGAGUAAAAAAUCUGCUCGAGAUUUUACGGUGCGUGGGACGGGUGGGGCGGUAAAUGCCGGAACAGACGCUCGCUCUGCGGUUCCGGUUCUUCCGGGCCACUAGUCGCUGGGUUCCUUCCUGUCGAAGCUUGGGUUUUACCUUGACUUGACCUCGUUGAAAAGAGUACCUCGACUUGACUGAGAAGACUCAUCGACGGUCGACGCGCUGCGCUGCACUGGUGCACUGUGCGUCGCGUGCCUCCAGUCCAGCUCCACCAGGCUCCGGUUGACGGUUGUCCAGCACCGUAGCGGAGGAGCGGGGGCCCCCAAGAUCUUGAAGGCCGAGCUCCGAAAGCCUGCGACUCCAUCAUGCAGAAGCAGUGGCGCUGUGCUGUGCUCUCCCUGUUGCCCUAUUCAUUCCGAUCAAUAUAAAUUGUGUUAGUACGCUUCGGUAUGUAGCUUUGCUGCAUCAAUCAAAUCACCAUCUUUUGAUGGUUUAAAUUAUAAACGUUGGCAAGAUCGGCUUAUACUAUGGUUAACACUAUCGAGAGUGCUCUAUGUAAAAGAGACUAAUCCAGAGGAAGGGAGUGCGUUCGAUGAGGCUGAUAUCCUCUUUCGAGGCUUGGUCAUUAGUGUUCUCAGUGAAAAUCUGGUGGAUUCCUAUAUCCGGCUGAUAACUAGCAAAGCGUUGUGGGAUGCUCUUGAGACUAAAUAUAGAGCGUCUGACGCCGGCAGUGAGUUGUAUAUGAUGGAGCAGUUCCUUGAAUAUAGGAUGGUCGAAAACCGUUCUGUGAUGGAACAGGCUCAUGAAAUACAUACUCUGGCAAAAUAUCUAAAAAAUUGUAGUAAAGAGUCCCCAUAUGUGUUACCCAAUAAGUUUAUGGCCGGAGGUAUAAUCUCUAAGCAGCCACCUUCUUGGAGGGACUUUGCUACUUCUCUAAAAACACAAGAGACAGAAAUUCACCAUAGAUGGACUCAUAGGGACUCUUGACGUUGAGGAGAAGUCGAGAGCAAAGAACAUACGUGGGAAAGGAGUUGUUGGUACUUCUAGCGCAAAUCUUGUUCAGAAGAACAACUCCCACAAGAAUAAGAAAAAGCCACCGCAAAAGACUAAGCAUACAACCACUUUUAAAAAGAAGAAAAAGAAGAAGAAGGGAGCUUGUUAUGUGUGCGCUAGUACGGAACACUUUGCUGCAAAGUGUCCGAAUCUCAAAGGCAACGACUCCACCAACAUGGUUAUUAGCGAGCCUGGAGAAACAUUGGGGUACGGUAAUUUAUUACCUACAGUUCUUUCAUUCUUUGUUUCACCCGAAUGGUGGGUUGACACUGGUGCUAAUAUUCAUGUUUGUGCUGAUGCUUCUUUGUUUUCUUCUUACCAGACUAGCGGGACUUCCUUAUUGUUGAUGGGGAACGAAUCGCAUUCGCGUGUUCUUAGUGUUGGUAUGGUAAAUCUGAAGUUUAUUUCGGGGAAGACCGUGCAGCUGAAGAACGUGCAGCAUGUCCGCACCAUCAAGAAGAAUCUAGUCAACGGCUCUCUACUUUGUAGAGAUGGUUUUAAAUUAGUCUUUGAGUCUAAUAAAUGUAUCUUGUCCAAGUUUGGUACUUUUGUUGGAAAAGGUUACGAAAGCGGAGGCUUGUUUCGUCUUUUUUUGUCAGAUGUUUGUAAUAAAGUUGCAUACAAUGUUAUUAAUGUCGAUGAAAUAAAUGUUUGGCAUUCGAGACUUUUUCACGUUAAUUUUGGUUGUAUACUUAGCUAAUUUGAGCUUAAUUCCAAAGUUUACUUUUAUCAAAAAUUCUAAGUGUCAUGUACGUGUUGAAUCAAAAUAAAUUCGUAAGCCUCGUAAGGCCGCGGAGUCAAGGAGCUUGGCACUCUUAGAAUUAAUUCAUUCUGAUUUGUGCGAAAUGAAUGGAGUGUUGACAAAAUGUGGCAAAAAAUAUUUUAUGACUUUGAUUGAUGACAGUAUUAGAUUUUGUUACAUCUAUUUGUUGAAGUCAAAAGAUGAAGCUUUACACUACUUUAAAAUUUAUAAAGCUGAAAUAGAAAAUCAACUUGGGAGAAAGAUCAAAAGAGUUAGGUCAGAUCGUGGUGGCGAGUAUUUCUCAAAUUUAUUUAUUUUAUUCUACGAGGAACAAGGUAUUAUUCAUGAGAGAACGCCUCCCUAUUCACCUCAGUCAAAUGGGGUUGCCGAAAUAAAGAACCGCACUCUAACGGAUUUGGUUAACGCCAUAUAAGAUACCGCGGGACUUUCCAAGGAAUGGUGGGGUGAGACUAUAUUGACUGUAUAUAAUGUUCUAAACCGUGUUCCUAUAAAGAAUAAAAAUGAGUGUGCCAAUAACCAAGAAACGUAAGCUUGGGCCUAAAACUGUGGAUUGUAUCUUUCUAGAUUAUGCUAUUCACAGCGUUGGGUAUAGAUUUUUAAUAGUGAAAUCUGGAAUAUCUGACGUGCAUGUUGGUACUAUAAUGGAGUCCAGAGAUGCUACAUUUUUUGAAAAUAUUUUUUCCAUGAGAGAUGAAACAAGUUCAUCUAGGCAAGAGUUCAUCGAGAAUGAUGGCUCUGCUGAGCUGACAAAACACAAUAAACAUACACUUAUGGAAUAUCCUGAGCAAGAUAACAAUGAUGUUCCAAGAAAUAGCAAGAGAUAAAGGACUGUAAAGUCUUUUGGUGAUGAUUUCAUUGUAUAGCUCAUAGAUAAUACACCCAGAACCAUUGAAGAGGCAUAUUAAUCUUCUGAUGCUGACUAUUGGAAGGAAGCAGUGAAGAUUGAGAUGGAUUCUAUUAUAUCUAAUGGAACCUGAGAGGUCGUUGAACGUCCUUAUGGAUGUAAACCGGUUGGAUGCAAGUGGGUGUUCAAGAAAAAGCUUAGGCCAGAUGGUACUAUUGAAAAGUACAAGGCUCGGCUUGUGGCAAAGAAUUAUACCCAAAAAGAAGGAGAAAAUUUCUUUGACACUUAUUCACCAGUUGACCGAUUGACCACAAUUCGAGUGUUACUUUCCCUGGCAGCCUCUUAUGGUCUUCUCGUUCAUUAGAUGGACGUUAAGAUGGCUUUUCUCAAUGGAGAGUUAGAAGAGGAGAUCUAUAUGUAUCAGCCGGAUGGGUUUGUAUUAAAGGAUCAGGAAGAAAUGGUUUGUAAGUUGUUGAAAUCUUUAUAUGGUCUCAAGCAAGAGCCUAAGCAGUGGCAUUAAAAGUUUGACAGAAUUUUGACCUCUACUGGUUUUGUUGUGAACGAAACUGGCAAAUAUGUGUACUAUCGCUAUGGUGGGGCUGAAGGGGUGAUUUUGUGCUUGUAUGUGGAUGAUAUACUAAUCUUUGGCACUAGCCUUAAUGUGAUUAAGGAAGUUAAAGAGUUUUUAUCUCAAAGUUUUGAGAUGAAAGAUCUGGGGGAAGCUGAUGUUAUUCUUAAUAUAAAACUGAUAAAAGAGAGGAAUGGUGGGGUAAUUCUUACACAGUCUCACUAUGUGGAGAAUGUGUUAAGUCGUUUUGGUUAUAGCGACUAUAAACCUGUCUCAACACCAUAUGAUGCCAGUUUAAUUUUUAGGAAGAACAAAAGGAUAAUGCGAGAUCACGUGAGAUAUUCUCAGAUCAUUGGUUCAUUGAUGUAUUUAGCGAGUGCUACAAGACCUGACAUCUUGUUUGCUGUAAGCAAACUGAGCCGGUGUGUUUCAAAUCCGGGAGAUGAUCAUUGGAAAUAUCUUGAAAGAGUAAUGCGCUAUCUAAAGGGGAUAAUGAAUUAUGAAAUUCACCACACCGGGUACCCAAGGGUAAUAGAAGGUUAUAGUGAUUCAAACUGUAUUUCUGAUGCUGAUGAGAUAAAGACCACAAGUGGAUAUGUGUUUACACUUGGUGGCGGAGCUGUUUACUGUAAGUCUUGCACGCAGACCAUCUUAACGAGGUCCACUAUGGAAGCGGAACUCACAGCAUUAGAUACCGUCACCGUUGAGGCUGAGUGGCUUCGUGAGCUCCUUAUGGACUUGGCGAUAGUUGAAAAAUCAUUACCGGCAAUUCUAAUGAACUGUGACAAUUAAACGGUAAUUGUCAACGUGAACAGUUCAAAGGAUAACAUGAAGUUAUCUAGACAUGUGAAAAGGCGGUUGAAAUCUGCCAGAAAAUUGAGAAACUCUGGAGUUAUAACCCUAGACUAUGUUCAGACGGCUAAAAAUCUGGCAGAUCAGUUUACAAAGGAUCUUUCACGAAAUGUGAUAGACAAUGUGAAACACCCCGGUCUAAACAACCGGAGCUAAACAUGUAUUUAAACACCAGAAAGCAGUCUCUGGCGAAAAUACAUUACACAAGUGGUGCCACAGUCAUACAUAGCUUUAUUUAAUACGUUCGAUUACAAUAAUAAUAUAAACUAGGAAUACAACAAUAGCGGUAAUAAACGCGAGGGUAAACUCUUCAUCUGUCAUGGUGGCUUCUACUGCGACGGCACCACUCCAGACUUGGGUAUAGGGCACGAACUACUUGCCUUCCUCAGGCACAAAAUCAGAAUCCUCUGCAACAAGUCAUAAACGGGUGAGUACAAAAGUACUCAGCAAGUUCCACCUCACCCUACGGGAGGGGAAUGACAUGCACGACACACAUUAAGCACAAUGCAUUAGUAAUGCUUCUUAUGGUAUGCAACUCUUCCCGACACAACCCACAGUAGGUAGCUCACUAGUUGUCAGGAUCACAUCUUAGCCUGUCCAUUCCGUGGACACGGACCAUUCGAAUGGAUUCUACACUCUGCAGAGGUCGUACACUGUACCCACAAGCUCGACUGCCCGAACGGACAAACGACAUAGCCGACACCCAGCCGUGGUCACGCCCCAGUCCGGCCGCACAACCCUCGGGCCCUGACCCCAAUGGUCUAUACCCGUGAACCAUCCCUGCGACCGCCAGGCUAACCAGUGGGAUUAGGCUAAAUCCGGCCCAUAACAGAACCUGUGGUCGUACUAAAGUAAGCUAGGUGAGAUGUCAAAACAACUCGUUCCUUAAGGUUCGCCAGGGCAGCAACCAUUACUCAACAUGUCAACUCGAGCCUACCUCCACUGUAGCACUCACUUACCAGUCUACCACCACGGUAGCGCCGACUUCAGCAUACCCAGCUGCCCUAGCCUCAGCCAAAAUCCUUCAUAUCCUAAUCUCAACUCUGGAUAUGCAUAACUACUCAUAUGCAUGUAUGAGCACACUCAAUCACUCAAGCACGGGUAUAUGUAAUCGAUACUAAACCAGAGCUACAACUAGACGUCCUCACAUGGAUGCAACCGCUCACGUAGGGGUCGAUGAAACUUGUCUUCGCUUAUGUACGCGUCGGCGGCGGCGGCUUCCUGCUCGUGGUACGGGUCUUCUGGCUCCGGCCCGCUGUACUGACCUUCGUACUCCUUGGCCGGCUCCUCCUCGGUCACUCCGUGAUCAACGGGCGGAAACGGCACAACCGGCAAACAACACAAGCAAGCUAUAAAAUAAGCUCAAAUGGAGAUGAAAAUAGGAGAAAUAGAUAGUAUACAAUUUGAGGAGAGGGUCAACAGUUGGAGCUUCGUCUCGUGAGUGAACUGGGCUCGGGAGAAGUGGUUCAGCUAGCAAGGUGAAGCGGCUCGGUGUGUUAGGGCUGAUGGUGGAGUUCAUCACGGCCUCGCUCCUUUUAUAGGCGAGGAGAGUAGCAGCGGCGUCGCACAGGGACGAGCGGCGGCGUGGGCUGCGGCAGCUCGCCGUCAGCUCAAACAGUGGCAGCACUGAAGACGCGAGCGUCGAGGCGGCAAAGCCGGCGAGGACGCUGCAGCGGCGUGGGCAAGGUGGGGACGCGGAGGUGGGCGGCACGGCGCGGUGCCGGCGGCAGUGCGCGGUCCCGUCGUGGGGCCGGUGUGUCGCGCGUGCGCGGGCGAAAGCGAGCACGGGUGGGGGACGGCAGGGAGGUGCGUCGGCUUCCUUUUUAAAUGAGGUGAGGUGGUUCGCGCGGCGGAAAAAUAUCUCGGCCGGCGCUGUGUGCGACGACCCUGAUUUAUGGCGAGGUGAAGCCUACCAACAGAUGAAUCACAAUCUAUAUACUACGUACUCAGGUUUAACCAGGAGACUAACACUUACCUUAUUGGAGCGACAAAACCACGAAGGAACGCACACCUUUAAGUGGCUAGUCCAGUACUAACCUUAUCACAACUUAUCUACCUUGCUCAUGGGUGAAUGGCAAAAGGGGGGGUCCUAUUUAUAGAUCAAGGGGGAUGGUGCUGCCAGUGAAGGUAAAGAAAGCACCGGAGAAGGAAAACAGAGGGGAAAGGGAAAUGGAAUUACUCAAGGACUUAUGCGCAAUUUUAGAAAACUGCAGGGACUCAUCUGUAAGGCAAAAUUUUCCAUCAAUCAAAACUCAAAUGAAGAAAUGCCUAAAACAAAAGUUGAAGAGUUUUUCAAACUCUACAACAUUGCUUUAGGGCUCAAAUUCAAAAACUCAAAACUUAUGUUUUUACAUAUGAAUUUUUGAAUAAAAGUCGGAUUUGAAUUGCUUUUGUCCUAAAGGGUAAAACUUUAUAAAAUUCAGGACCUAAAUGCAAGCAUUUAUGACACGUCAUGAUGACGGGAUAGACUUGUCAUAAUGAUUGGAUAGACAUGUCAUUAUGACGGGAUAGGCUUGUCAUAAUGGUUGGAUAGACAUGUCAUUAUGACGGGAUAGACUCGUCAUAAUGAUUGGAUAGACAUGUCAUCAUGACUCGCAUUUUUACACUUUAGUUCUGAGUAAAUUUAAAAGUUACUUUUGUAAAUCAAAUAUUUGCAUAAAAGGACUUGUACUUUUAUAAAAUUACGCAAACAUCCUUACUUUGCAUUUCUUUUAAUAGUGAUGAAAACUGGGAUGUUACACAAUGCAUCUAUGGAAUUGGGCUUGAGACCCAUGUGAGUCAUUCUACAGUGGAAACCUGUCCUAUGUGAUCGGAGAUCCUGUGAAUUAGGAUGGUGAAAUAAAUUAAAGUUUGACUGUGAGAAGAGAGCCUUUGUGAAAAGAGCUCAUUCCGUGUAUAAGAUGCAUUUCUUUUCUAAUCUGUAUGGUAGGUUGGUCUAUAUCUUAAUGUGUUCCAGGUGGUUUCUUUAAAACAAAUAAGUUGUUUCUUGGAAUAAAGAUGUUGUCUUACAGAACAUUUGAAAGGAACACACCUAUAUGAGUCUGACUACUGGUCAUGGUCUAUGAGAACUGGGUAUUCUCUAGAAACUCAUGAAGGGCCUGGAGUAUGACUUAUAAGCUCCAAUCCGUGGGGAUGCUUUUGCAGCCUAGUACCAGUGUAGGGCUCUAGUCAAACUUGUUGGCAAUUCAAGGCAUAGUCCAUUGUACAGUUGUGUAUAACUGUAACUUUUAUUCUAGAUGGAAGUUCAACUUAACAGUCUCUGUCAAAUACUGGUAUAUAAAUGAGGGAAUAAGGGCAUUUCUAGUGUGGCUUGAAUUUCUUGGUGGGGAUUGUUGGAAUUAUGGGCUUGGCCCAUUCAUUCUAAUCAAUACAAUAAAAAAAUUUAAUGCCUACUAUUAAAUCUAGAGAAUCAAUUGCUUAAUUCCGUACCGGAAUUUGAGGAGAAUCUCAACCGACUUAAAGGGUGGAUUUCGUGUACACCAUUUGUGAAGCCGGUAAGAGGAGUACGGUGAACCACACGCGCGCGCGCUCGCCUCGCCGCGCCAAGGUCGUGGACGAGGCGAGGCGCGGCGCGGCCGGACGUGACGUGACGUGCAGGUGCGGUGCAACGUGCUAAGAUAAGAAGAACGUUUUGCUGUAAAGAGCAUUAAAAUAGAGAAUUAAUGUUGAUAGUAAUGACUGGACAAUCAAGGCUCUUUACGACGUCCAGGUUCGUUGAACCUGAGGCACAAUAGGUUCGUUGAACCAGAGGCACCUCAACGCCUAUAUAAAUCAUCUCGUCCUCCUCCCAUCCUCACUCACCUCAGCACUUGAUCCAGAUACUCCUGCUUAGGAGACCUCUCCCUUCUCACUCAGCUGCUUUCUGCCAUUUCCAUCGCUAGUGCUGCGCACACAGCUCUAGCGAGAGCAGGCCUCCGGAACCUUUGCUCGCUGAAGGUCCUGCACGGGACGCGGGCAAUCAGAUUUUUGGGGAGCGUCUUGACGCGGCUGCUCGCUCCCUGAACGACUAUUUCGUCUACUUCCCGACGUGACCGUUCGUGGGACUGCACUGCGAACAUCUUCCUGCAUCGACAUAAUUCGGCUACUUUGAGCAAGGCCAGUCGAAUAGCAUGUCUAUUCCAGCCGGUAACGGCGCAACCGGUGCCUCCGGCACUAGUCCCGCCUUGGGAUACAUUCUAAAUCUAUUCUAGUUUAACUCUUUGUUCAUGCUUAUUACUAAGAAUAAUAUAAACACAUGCACAUAUCUUAUUCACAUAUUAUCACUUAUUUAUAUCAUAAAAUUGCUAGUAAUAUUUAAAAUUAAAAUAUACCGAAAAUUGCCUAGUUUUUUAACACUCACAUGCUCUGUCCUUCGCUUUGACAGCUUCGAGCUUUCACUUCCCAGCUGAUCAUCUAUCAUACUGUAGCUUGUUGUCACCUCCUCCUAGUGACGUCAUCGUAAGAAUGGAAGCGCCCCACACCUCCUAGUGCAUGGACAAGUUCUCAUAUUUAGAAAAAUUCUUAGCUAUACGUGAUGACCUGUUGUCGAUUCAUGCACAAACUAAAGUGCAAAAAUUGGGUUUUAGAUAAAAUUUCAGGUGCAGAAUUAAAUCAGAUAGAAUCUGCACAUGAAUUUGUUAGUUUGCACACCUCACCAAAGAGAUUGAAUUUGCACUUAAGUCAAGCAUACACGCGGACCCUACUGUCACCUACAGCUGUGAUUUUUUCAACAUUUCUGAAAAAAGAUUUAGAUACAUUUUGGACCAAUCUGGAAUGCUUUCCAUAGUUUUGGUAUUUUACCUUAUACUCACCAAUCAAGGAAGGUAAGGUACCUACCCGUCAAAACCGUGCUAUUAAUAACUGAAAGAAACAACAAGAUUCAUCAGACUGCAGAAUCAUGGAAUGGUCAAUUGACGGGUACAAAAACGCAUGCAUUUUCCUCGCAAAAAAAAGGGAAAAAAUCGCAUGCCAACGUUCUUGUUCAGAUGCCAUCAAUGGAAUCCACGCAACAAAAGAUCACUACAUCAACAAAAGAUCACUACAUGCCACGCCGCAAAAUACCACACCAGGCGACCCGGAGUUCUGAGCUCGUCAUGCAUCGUUGUAGAGCCUCCAGCCGACCUGCAUGGACGCGAACGCGUCGGCGCAGGCGUACUUGCACUGGUCCUCGGUCAGCUUGCGCCUGUCCCAGGCGCUGACGCGCACAUUGUGCGGCUUCUCCAUCCGCACGCCCAUCACCUCCCGCACCAGCGCCCGCAGCCCCGCGCCGCGCAGCUCGGGCCUCCCCAGCGUGCGCGCGGCGUGGCGGCGCAGGUCCACCGCGCGCGACACCUCCAGCCCGUACCCGUCCCGCAGCCUGGCCGCGUCGUCGCGGAUCCCGACCCCGACGAAGGCGAACCGGCGGUCGGCGAGGAAGUUGGACAGGGCGUCGGGGACGUAGUUGGCGCGUCGGAUCUGGAAGACGAGGCAGCGGCGGCCGACGCAGACCUGCAGCACGGCGACGGGGCCCGGCUCGCGGGCGGGCCGCCACUCCACGUCGAGGCCGGCGACGAGGGGGUGGCGGCUGCGGCGGUGGAUGCUGUAGGUCUUGUCCACCCACGACUCCACCACGUCGCCGGACUCGGUGAGCGUUGGGUCGUCGGCUGUAGUAGCCCUCGAUCUCGGUUGCCAUGUCCCUCCGCUGAUCUCUCUCUCGCUCGCUCGCUCCCCUGGCUCCCUGCGUUGGGUUUAUGGACGGGUGAUGUAUUGAGACGGAGAUCUGACGGACUCGUGCGGCACGUAGGCGGAAGGGGAACACCACGCCACCACGGGGACGACGUCAUGCUCGCGCUCGCGCGAAUGGGUGGCUCAGAUUCCGUUUGGAGCGGUUGUCGACGGCCAGGAUAGUGGCCAAACGUCUUCUUUUUUUGAAAGCUGAGAUGUUUGUUUGAGAUGGGGGAUUCGAACGCGAGAGCAAACGCGAGUCGCGGUCUUCCGGGCCAACGUGGCAGUCAAAGGCCAGCAGGUUCUUUCCUGUCAAAACCCUGGCUAACGAUCCCCUGGACAGAUGUGGGAGAAUUUCCCGUUGGGUCUGAAGUACUUGCCUCGGAUUUACAAGUUACAGCGUGAGAUUGAUUAUUUGAUUUUGGCACACAAAAGAAGAUGAUCGGAACAGACUGUCUUACAUGUUUUGCUAAUCUAUGAGUCAUUUUAUUUUCUUGUCUUGGAAUCAUGCAAAAGGCACAGCUUUGAGUUACCUAUCUAAUGUUCAUCUGCAAAAGGCCACUGGACGUGCUAUGCAUGUCAUAGGUAGCAAGUAGGCCUCUUAACUCAAAUGUUUUUUUUUUGCGAAACUCUUAACUCAAAUGUUCAUCUGCUCAGUGACUCAUUACCUAUUUAUCCAUCAUCCUACUCUGCUCACACCGUGCCGCCGUGGGCACUCGGCGACAGGGACACGGGAAUAGUAAUAGGCCACACCAAGCGAUCCCAACCGCGACGACGCGAUCCAUCCUCGGCAACAAGCAGGCGGAUGGUUGCUGAUUCUGCAAGGGUACGGCCUACUUUCGCGGAAAAAAUAUGGAUAGAUGAUAGAUCCACUGAUCGAUCUGAGCGUGAUCGAACUGCCAUCAGAAUUACUGAUCGUCGAUCGUUACAGAAUGAGACCAGGAGUCCAGGACCUGAUUGCCUCUGCACCUAUAGUUCUAAAGGCUCGAGUGCUGCAUUAUGCCAUUACCUCACCAAUUUAGCACUACAUUUCCACAUCAGAAUAGCUACGAUAUUAUUAGACUGUUUAAACAGCCAAAUACAGAUUUCCACAUCAGGAUAGCUGUGGUAUUCUCAACAACUAAAAACUACAUACCAUGGUAGCAUAACCAUCUUACCCAAAUAGACCUCACCUCAGAACUCCUAGGGACCGAAGUAUUCCUCAGGAACGUGAAACUUUAAACCGAUGGCCUAUAACAGGACAUAUCACACGUCAGCUAAUGAAGGCUUCUAAUUAUCCCAAACAUGAUACCGUAAUGAAAAAAAGGUAAUAAAUGAAUACGACUAACUAAAAGCAGCCUAGCAUCCAAGUAAUUUCAACUGGAAAUGGAUAUCUAAAAGUUCCUGUUCUGCAUGGUACAAAGAAAUCUCAGUUCCUUUCAUCUAUUUUGCCAAUGCCUUGUGAACAAGGUUGCUAUGUUCUCUCCGGAUGACAAGUGAGGGGCCUUUCAAAUUAUUUAAAUCGAAUAAGGAAAAAAAAAUGCUCUGUUGAAUGCUCAUUCAGACAGGUUGUCAUACCUCAGCAAAUUUUAUAUCGGCAUCGCUAUGAUCGUUUUCUCUCCCAGCAGCAUCACCAACAUAAAAAGAUCUGAAAUAAUAUAGCAAAUCUCUGAAGAUUUUGUGGAUAGCUUUGCAGCAAUACAGAAUAAUGCAUCCUGAGUUGCCGACACUCUCACGGUGCAACUGGUCAGCCGAACACGCCGGAGAAGCGGUCCGCUGAUCCAGCCCGGUUCGAGUCACGGCACAAGCUUAAGAUGAAAAUCAGGGGGACAUCUCUCCCCCCUGGUCGAGUUUUUUUUUUAAGCAUCCUGAGUUUCUUGCAAUGGCCAACUCAAGCGACCCAAAAUCUCCUGUCCUUUUAAAGAAGAAUGGUUGCCAUAUCUAGACUUGACCAAGCCUAACCUAGAAAACAUGUGGAUAGUACAAUCUAAAUCGGCUUCGAGCCUUUACUCCGUGUGAGUUUAACACUCUUACAGAUUUCCAUGUCAGACCAGCUCAGACAAUCCUACAUAUCUUACAACAUCAUGGAAAUUGACAUUUUACUAUUGUAUAGUCAACUAGACAACUAGAGAACUACAGGAGCAUAGCAGCAACGGUCCUCAAUAAGAGGCACUGCGAAAUUGUGAUUGUAGUUAUUUCAAGCUCAAACAUAUUGCAAUAUCUGACAUCCAACAAAGGUUCUUUCCAUCAUCAUCUAAAUUAGUUAUUUUUUAAUAAUAGGGGGGAAUCCAAAUAAAUAACCAAGGCUUGGACCCCCCCCCCCCCCCCCCCAAAUUAUGGUAAACCAACUCUCCAAGUGAUUAGGAAGAGAUAGAAGGCUCCUAGAGAUGUCAGCGUGUGCAUUCGUUUAUGCGCAUGCAACUGCAAUCCCACUAACAUGUGAGCCCUUAUCCUGCAUGGUAACUGUAACACCCGGAUACUCCGGCCAUUGUCCCGGAUACUCCGAGCGUGGAGUUUCUAUUUCCAAAUUUGGUCAUCUGGACCCCACAAUCUUUGAAUAGAAAAGAUCACUCUCUCUCCCUCACUCUCACUCUCUCCCGUUACCUCUCUCUCUCCCUCACCUCCCUCACAAGCUCUCCCUCUCCCCUAAGCUCUAGAUUCCGAAAUCUUUCAUUUCAACUUGAUUCCAAGGCCAAGGGAGCUUCACUCGGUGUGGGGGAUCAUCUUCUACAAGUAUUCCACCUUGGGGCGACAUCGUUUUCGGGUUUUCUUGCAAGGGGAACUAGCUCAAGGUACUAGAAGCUAGGGCUCGCCGAUUUAGUUGUUUUAGAAUGUUCUAGGUGAUUUCCUUUGGUCAAUCAUCUCUAUAUGCAUCUUUCAACUAGGAUUCAAGAGGGUUUAAAAUUUGGUGGGGUGGUUUUGCCAAAAAUCAAGAUUUCAGUUUUUGGGGCGAAAAUGCUGUCAAGCCCAGAUACUCCGGGAAAUAGCCCAGAUACUCCGGAUUGGGGAUACUCCGGGGGAAAACUCCGGGUAUAAGCCCGGAUACUCCGGAUUUGGGAUACUCCGGGGGAAACUCCGGGUAUAGGUCCGGAAACUCCGGACGUUGGAGUCCGGAUACUCCGGAUAUGAGUCCGGAUAUUCCGGGUUUUAUUAGAACUAUUGGAUGUAGAAUUGGGUAAAUUUGUAGCGUUUCUACUUGGGCAUUUCAAAGAUUUUUGUUGCAUAUCGCAUUUGCAUACAUUCUCAUGUCAUGUGCAUACGUGUAGACGCCGCCGCCGAGGGAGUCGUAUAUGAAGUGAUCGCGGAGGCGAAAGAGCACCCAGAGCAAGUCCCACAGGGGGUUCGCAAGGAUCCGGCCCAAGGCCCGUCUGCCCCUGACUCUAAGCAACAGCCCAAAGGCAAGCCCCGGUGCACAUCCUACUAAUUUUUAAAUUACGACACCUAUAUAUAUAUGUAGUUAUUGCUUAUGCAUUACGUUUAGGAGUUGUUUGAAACCCUAGUUGCAUGACCCCUAGGUGUCCUUGAGUUGUACUAGUAUGUAUAGGACGAUAGAAAUGCUAUGCUUAAUAGAACUCGGUAGAAGUCGAGUAAUUUUUGGUUACUCGCGAGAUAUAGGAUAGCUUUAUGUUUUCAGAUAUGAGUUACUAAUUUAUGGAUGAAAGUCUUGAAAUGAAAGAAAGAAUAGAAUCUAAGACCGGGCGGGAGAGGUGUAGUUCCGCCUGUGUCGGUUAAGGACCGAGCCGUUGUUGGCCCUGCUGAUCAUGUUUGAAUUGUACUAACCGCAUGCCGGGAGUAGGAGGUAGUCGAAACCGGUAAGCCGAGUACUGCCUUGCUUCGGAAGUACAGAACUUCUACCCACCCCUUAGGGCGAGUCGAGUGGCCGCGGAGAAUUGGGAUGCAUGAGUUUACUUUUGGUGGUCUCUCGUAGGGCUCGGCUGACUAUAUGCAGGUGGGGCGGUUCUGUAGUUCGAGGCGGGGAGGGGAAAGGUUGGUGCGUGUGGUCCGACGGGGCAUACGCGUGCCGUGUUGGUUAGGUCCACCUUGCAAGGUUAAAUCGAAUCGAUUCGCCGUCAGUCGCUCUCGGAUAUGAGCACCUUGGUCACUGCGUCGCAGCGUAGUGUUAUGUUGGGGAUGAUAAGAAAUAUAGAUGAGGAUCCAUACAUUGAAUUAAGGUUAAUGCUUCACAUGUGUGCUAUAGAUAGGUUAUGCCAAUGAUUAGAUUAUAGUUAAGUUAAAUAGAAUCUGGAGCUAAAAUGAUGAAAGUAAGAGAUUACUUUAGUCGCUUUUUCUGCAAAAUAACCACCAGCCAAAUGCUUUGCAUGUCUAGAUAUGUGGGCUAAGUUAUACCCACUGGUCGGGUAAGUCUUGCUGAGUAUUAGUAUACUCAGGGUUUUGUUGGAAAAUGUUUUCAGGUCCCGCACCCGUAGACUUCUGUCCGUGUUGCGCCAAGUUCGUUCGGUUGGACGUGGAGGGGUGGAGUGUUGAGGAUCCAGGCGCGUAACUUUAGAUGUGCAUGGGAUUGCACACUCGUGGGCUGAGUGCGCAAUUCUUAUCUGUUUUUGGAUGUGGUAGUGGGUAGAUUCCAUGUUAUCCAAACUUUGUAUAAAGGGCAGAUACUCUUGUAUAAUAUUAUGUAUUUCGAACUGGGUUUGUAAAACUCUUUGUUGUUAUCGUUUUGUCACUCUUGUGUAUUUUCAAGUUAUGUCAAGCUGUACCAUCUGCGCCCACCUUCGCGUGGGACUACCAGUGUUGUUUCGAUCGGGACGUGGGUUGAGAAAGGAUCGCCAAAUUAAGCCGUUAAGCUAAUGCGCCCGAUGUGUUCAAAUGACGGCCAUUACGCUUAAUUAGAGUUUUAAUUUGGCGGUUCUGUCACAGCUGGUAUCAGAGCCGAAACACACUGGGGGUGGUACGAGCAUGACUAAUUUUGAGGUUUUCACGAAUUAAAAAAAAAACAAAUUUCAACUUAAGAUAAAAGGUUAUUUGGUGGUGGGGGCGGGUUUAUUCACAAUAGCCCUAUAUAUUUAGUAUUUGAAUCGUGGGUAGAUGGGUGGUUUUGGGCGGAGGGGUUACCGUAGGACGAUCAUACGUCAUGCAUCAUGCCAUUAUUUGAUUUAAAUUCCUGCAUUAGGGGUGGGAACGGUGCGAGACAUCACGAGGGUAACUGGAUACUCUGGAUGAGAAUCCGGAUAGUCCGGAUUGGGGUGUCCGGAUAUUCCGGAUGAUAAUCCAGAUAUUCCGGAUUUGGUUGCAAAAAGAAUCCUGGCUUUUUGAUUUAAUUUACGCUUUCUGCAUUCUUCCAUGGUUGAUUGUUAUGGGACUAAUUCAACCAUGGCUGAAUACAGAAUGGGGGAACCACUGAACCCUCCGGAUUUGGCUCAGGCCAUUGCGGCCAUGUUGACUGGGCGCGACGAGCAGACGGCACUCCUCCGUGAGCUUGUGGCGCAGGGCAGAGCGCCGCGGCCUGAACAUCACCACCAGCCACCUGCUCCUGGAUAUCCGGAGUUUUUGGCCACUCAGCCACCGCUCUUCCAUAAGGCGGAUGAACCACUAGAGGCGGACAGUUGGCUUCGGACCAUCGAGUCCAAGUUUACCCUGCACCCAUACAAUGAUAGGGAUAAAGCAGGAUUGGCAGCCCAGCAGCUGAGGGGUCCCGCGCGCACAUGGUGGGAGAAUCAUGUGGCAAUGUUCCCCGCGGACACCCGGUUCACUUGGGCUCAGUUCAAGGAGGCUUUCAGAGCACACCAUAUUCCAGCCGGUGUGAUCCGAAGGGAGCUCACAGAGUUUUUAGCCCUGAAGCAGGGCAAUAACAGUGUGCUGCAGUAUUCCCAGGCCUUCAACACACUGGCACAGUAUGCGGGGUACCAUGUAGACAACGAUGAGAAGAAGCAGGCUUGCUUCAGGCAGGGGCUUAGUAGUAAGCUCCAGGAUCGCUUGGCAAUGGUCAAGUUUGACAGUUUCAGUGAGCUGGUCAAUGGGGCUAUCAUACAGGAGGAUGCCCACCUAGCUCACAAGGCAGGAAAGAAGAGAAAGACGCCGGCAGCAGGAUCUUCUAGCAGUGCCCCUCAGAGGUUCCGUCUAGUGCAGUCGGGCCCACAGCGAGCCCCCUUUCAGCACCAGCCGCCGCAGCAGUGGGGAUACAGGCCCCCUCAGGACACUCAGCCACAGGGGACAGUCAGGCCUCCUGUUCCUCAGCAGAAUGAGCAGAAGGUCUGGGUGCAGCAGCAAGGGGUACGCCCCAAUUUCUUUCCGUGCUACAACUGUGGACAGCCGGGUCACUUUGCACGGAACUGCCCAAUGCCACCUAAGCAAGGCCAGCAAUCGAGCCAGCAAGGUCAGAAGCAGAGUGUGGCCCACUUCAAGCCGGGGCAAGUGCACUACACCACCCUUGAGGAUAUUCCUGAGGGAGCACCAGUGAUGUCGGGUACGUUCUCUAUUGACGGACAUCCCAUUACUGUACUAUUUGAUUCUGGGGCAUCUCACACAUUUAUUAGCAAGGGAUGUGUAAAUAGACUAGGGUUAGAAGUGGAGAGCAUAUCCAGGCCAUAUAAUAUUCACUCACCCGGGGGACACUUGAUUACUAAUCAACUUGUUAGACAAGUACCCUUGCAAUUACAGGGAAGAAGUUUUGCCACCCAGCUUAUCGUGUUACCAUCCCAGAAGCUGGAUAUUAUUCUUGGCAUGAAUUGGAUGGGAGUUCACAGAGUCGUUCUUGACACUGUUUCUCAAUCCGUGCACAUCAACUCCCCUAUUCAUGGUUCGAUGGCCUUAAGUCUUGUGAACUCCACCCCGGUGGUCCAUGUGGUGCACCACGCCGAGGGCAAGAAGCUAGAGGAUAUACCAGUGGUAUGUGAAUACCCGGAUAUUUUUCCGGAUGAAUUGCCUGGAAUGCCGCCUGAUCGUGAAGUGGAGUUUACCAUUGAAUUGCAACCGGGUACAGCACCGAUUUCUAGGAGGCCUUACCGGAUGCCACCCAAUGAGCUGGCGGAGUUAAAGAAACAAUUGCAGGAAUUGCUUGACAAGGGCUAUAUCCGUCCUAGCACGUCAUCUUGGGGCUGUCCUGCACUCUUUGUGAAAAAGAAAGAUGAAAGCCUCAGGUUGUGUGUGGACUAUAGACUUCUGAAUGCCGUCACAAUCAAAAAUAAAUAUCCCCUUCCCCGAAUUGAUAUUCUGUUUGAUCAGCUAUUCGGGGCCAAAGUAUUUUCUAAGAUUGAUCUCCGCUCUGGCUAUUAUCAGAUAAAGAUUAGAGCUGAGGAUAUUCCCAAGAUGGCUUUUUCCACCAGAUACGGACUUUUUGAAUAUCUGGUCAUGUCUUUCGGGCUAACGAAUGCCCCUGCUCAUUUCAUGUAUCUCAUGAACUCGGUGUUCAUGCCCGAGCUAGAUAAGUUCGUAGUGAUUUUCAUUGACGACAUCCUGAUAUUUUCCAAGAAUGAAGAAGAACAUGCAGAGCAUCUCCGCAUUGUGCUUCAGCGCCUGCGGGAGCACAAACUGUACGCCAAAUUCAGUAAGUGUGAUUUCUGGCUCAAGGAAGUCCAGUUCUUGGGCCACAUCAUCUCAGACCAGGGGAUUUCUGUUGAUCCUAGCAAGAUUCAGGAUGUCCUGAAUUGGAAGACUCCAGAGUCUGUUUCAGAGAUUCGUAGUUUCCUUGGGCUAGCAGGCUAUUAUCGCCGAUUUGUAUCGGACUUUUCAAAAAUUGCUAGACCCAUGACUGAAUUACUCAAGAAAGGGGUGAGAUUCAAUUGGGAUGACAAAUGUGAGCAAGCUUUUCAGACCCUAAGGGAGCUUCUGACGUCCGCCCCUGUCCUGGCUCAGCCGGAUAUUACUCGGCCCUUUGAUGUAUAUUGUGAUGCCUCAGGUACGGGCCUCGGCUGUGUACUCAUGCAAGACCAGAGGGUGAUUGCUUAUGCUUCCAGAGCCCUCAGACGGCAUGAGGAAAAUUAUGCAACUCACGAUCUGGAACUGGCAGCAGUAGUACAUGCAUUAAAGAUCUGGCGCCAUUAUCUUCUGGGUAAUCCUAUUCACAUAUACUCGGACCACAAGAGUCUUAAGUAUAUUUUUACCCAGAGUGAGCUCAACUUGCGCCAGAGACGGUGGUUAGAGUUGAUAAAGGAUUAUGAUUUGGAGAUUCAUUAUCACCCGGGGAAGGCGAAUGUCGUUGCAGAUGCACUGAGUCGCAAGGCAAGUUGCAGUUGCACCUCAGCUUCUGUGGUGCAUGAAACCUUAUGCCAAGAAAUGGAAAAAUUAAAUCUGACUAUUGUAUCUGAAGGCACACUUACUAAUCUUACCCUCACAUCUACACUUAGAGAUCAAAUUGUGGAGGCUCAGAAGAAUGAUGUGGGCAUCGAUAAGAUCAGGCAACGGCUCAGUGAAGAUGAUCCUCAGGUGCAAUGCUUUCAUCGAGAUAGUGAGGGAGUUCUUUGGUUUAAAGAUCGGAUAGUAGUACCUAAGAAUGUUGAGCUUCGGAAACAAAUUCUUGAUGAGGCUCACCUUUCGAGGUAUUCUAUUCACCCGGGCAGUAACAAAAUGUAUCAAGAUCUCAGACAACGAUUUUGGUGGACCAGGAUGAAACGUGAGGUCGCCAAAUAUGUGUCCGAGUGCGAUAUUUGUCGAAGAGUCAAAGCAAGUCAUCUCAAACCUUCUGGUAUGCUACAGCCCUUGGAUAUCCCUUCGUGGAAGUGGGAGGAUAUUAGUAUGGACUUCAUUGUUGGGUUACCUCCCACGUCAAAGGGAUAUGAUUCGAUUUGGGUUAUCGUUGACCGCCUCACUAAGUCCGCUCACUUUCUUCCAGUGAAGACCCGUUAUUCAUCUCAUCAAUAUGCUGAGUUAUACAUUGCACGGAUUAUAAGUCUUCAUGGUAUCCCAAGAACCAUUAUAUCAGACAGAGGCUCACAGUUUGUUGCCCGUUUCUGGGAACAGUUGCAUGCGUCUCUGGGGACUCAGCUUAUUCGCAGCUCAGCCUAUCAUCCUCAGACCGAUGGUCAAACUGAGCGAAUCAAUCAGAUUCUAGAAGAUAUGCUUCGAGCCUGUGUGCUCUCUUACAGCAAGAAGUGGGAUGAGUGCCUACCUCUGGCAGAAUUCUCUUACAAUAACAGUUAUCAAGAAAGCAUCAGAAUGGCCCCAUUUGAGGCACUAUAUGGGCGGAGGUGUAGAACGCCAGUGAAUUGGUCAGAAGCCGGGGAAAGGAAUGUGUUCGGCCCUGAGAUGGUCAGUGAGGCAGAAGAACAAGUCCGGUUCAUACAGGAGAAUUUAAAAAUAGCCCAAUCUCGACAGAAAAGUUAUGCGGACAAGAAACGUCAAUCCGUCUCAUUCCAAGUGGGAGACCAUGUUUACUUGCGGGUAUCUCCAAUGAAAGGAGUCCAGCGAUUCGGUGUGAAGGGAAAGCUCGCCCCUCGCUAUGUCGGGCCUUUUCUUAUCAUUGAGCGGUGUGGGCCGGUAGCGUAUCGCUUGGAACUUCCUGCCCAAUUAUCCGCGGUUCAUAAUAUUUUCCAUGUCUCUCAGCUUAGAAGAUGCCUUCGUGUUCCAGAAAAGGUGAUUGACCUAGAAAAGUUGCAACUGGAGCCCGAUCUUGUCUAUCCCGAGUAUCCAAUCAAAAUUGUGGAUCACAAGACUCGGGUCACUCGCAAUCAAAUCAGCCAUUUUUACAAAGUCCAAUGGAGCAAUCACUCCGAACGAGAAGCUACCUGGGAAACGGAGGAGUUCGUUCAGUCAAAAUGUCCGGAAUUGCUCCAAACUCACCACGGUACAUGAUUUUUCCGCAUUGUUUCCAAAUUGGCACUCUCACCUAAAUCUCGGGACGAGAUUUCUUUUAGGGGGAAGGAUUGUAACACCCGGAUACUCCGGCCAUUGUCCCGGAUACUCCGAGCGUGGAGUUUCUAUUUCCAAAUUUGGUCAUCUGGACCCCACAAUCUUUGAAUAGAAAAGAUCACUCUCUCUCCCUCACUCUCACUCUCUCCCGUUACCUCUCUCUCUCCCUCACCUCCCUCACAAGCUCUCCCUCUCCCCUAAGCUCUAGAUUCCGAAAUCUUUCAUUUCAACUUGAUUCCAAGGCCAAGGGAGCUUCACUCGGUGUGGGGGAUCAUCUUCUACAAGUAUUCCACCUUGGGGCGACAUCGUUUUCGGGUUUUCUUGCAAGGGGAACUAGCUCAAGGUACUAGAAGCUAGGGCUCGCCGAUUUAGUUGUUUUAGAAUGUUCUAGGUGAUUUCCUUUGGUCAAUCAUCUCUAUAUGCAUCUUUCAACUAGGAUUCAAGAGGGUUUAAAAUUUGGUGGGGUGGUUUUGCCAAAAAUCAAGAUUUCAGUUUUUGGGGCGAAAAUGCUGUCAAGCCCAGAUACUCCGGGAAAUAGCCCAGAUACUCCGGAUUUGGGAUACUCCGGGGGAAAACUCCGGGUAUAAGCCCGGAUACUCCGGAUUUGGGAUACUCCGGGGGAAACUCCGGGUAUAGGUCCGGAAACUCCGGACGUUGGAGUCCGGAUACUCCGGAUAUGAGUCCGGAUAUUCCGGGUUUUAUUAGAACUAUUGGAUGUAGAAUUGGGUAAAUUUGUAGCGUUUCUACUUGGGCAUUUCAAAGAUUUUUGUUGCAUAUCGCAUUUGCAUACAUUCUCAUGUCAUGUGCAUACGUGUAGACGCCGCCGCCGAGGGAGUCGUAUAUGAAGUGAUCGCGGAGGCGAAAGAGCACCCAGAGCAAGUCCCACAGGGGGUUCGCAAGGAUCCGGCCCAAGGCCCGUCUGCCCCUGACUCUAAGCAACAGCCCAAAGGCAAGCCCCGGUGCACAUCCUACUAAUUUUUAAAUUACGACACCUAUAUAUAUAUGUAGUUAUUGCUUAUGCAUUACGUUUAGGAGUUGUUUGAAACCCUAGUUGCAUGACCCCUAGGUGUCCUUGAGUUGUACUAGUAUGUAUAGGACGAUAGAAAUGCUAUGCUUAAUAGAACUCGGUAGAAGUCGAGUAAUUUUUGGUUACUCGCGAGAUAUAGGAUAGCUUUAUGUUUUCAGAUAUGAGUUACUAAUUUAUGGAUGAAAGUCUUGAAAUGAAAGAAAGAAUAGAAUCUAAGACCGGGCGGGAGAGGUGUAGUUCCGCCUGUGUCGGUUAAGGACCGAGCCGUUGUUGGCCCUGCUGAUCAUGUUUGAAUUGUACUAACCGCAUGCCGGGAGUAGGAGGUAGUCGAAACCGGUAAGCCGAGUACUGCCUUGCUUCGGAAGUACAGAACUUCUACCCACCCCUUAGGGCGAGUCGAGUGGCCGCGGAGAAUUGGGAUGCAUGAGUUUACUUUUGGUGGUCUCUCGUAGGGCUCGGCUGACUAUAUGCAGGUGGGGCGGUUCUGUAGUUCGAGGCGGGGAGGGGAAAGGUUGGUGCGUGUGGUCCGACGGGGCAUACGCGUGCCGUGUUGGUUAGGUCCACCUUGCAAGGUUAAAUCGAAUCGAUUCGCCGUCAGUCGCUCUCGGAUAUGAGCACCUUGGUCACUGCGUCGCAGCGUAGUGUUAUGUUGGGGAUGAUAAGAAAUAUAGAUGAGGAUCCAUACAUUGAAUUAAGGUUAAUGCUUCACAUGUGUGCUAUAGAUAGGUUAUGCCAAUGAUUAGAUUAUAGUUAAGUUAAAUAGAAUCUGGAGCUAAAAUGAUGAAAGUAAGAGAUUACUUUAGUCGCUUUUUCUGCAAAAUAACCACCAGCCAAAUGCUUUGCAUGUCUAGAUAUGUGGGCUAAGUUAUACCCACUGGUCGGGUAAGUCUUGCUGAGUAUUAGUAUACUCAGAGUUUUGUUGGAAAAUGUUUUCAGGUCCCGCACCCGUAGACUUCUGUCCGUGUUGCGCCAAGUUCGUUCGGUUGGACGUGGAGGGGUGGAGUGUUGAGGAUCCAGGCGCGUAACUUUAGAUGUGCAUGGGAUUGCACACUCGUGGGCUGAGUGCGCAAUUCUUAUCUGUUUUUGGAUGUGGUAGUGGGUAGAUUCCAUGUUAUCCAAACUUUGUAUAAAGGGCAGAUACUCUUGUAUAAUAUUAUGUAUUUCGAACUGGGUUUGUAAAACUCUUUGUUGUUAUCGUUUUGUCACUCUUGUGUAUUUUCAAGUUAUGUCAAGCUGUACCAUCUGCGCCCACCUUCGCGUGGGACUACCAGUGUUGUUUCGAUCGGGACGUGGGUUGAGAAAGGAUCGCCAAAUUAAGCCGUUAAGCUAAUGCGCCCGAUGUGUUCAAAUGACGGCCAUUACGCUUAAUUAGAGUUUUAAUUUGGCGGUUCUGUCACAGCAACUACCUCCAUAUUACCAAAUAGAAACAGGUAAAGCUUGUGAGACAGAUGUGUGGUUCCAGCCCAAAAAAUAUGCAGCCCAUGCUUAAAAGUCUCAUUCAAAUUGAAGCCCAGUUCUUUAAAGUUGAUGAUUAUGAGUGAUUUUGUGACAGUUUGCUAAAGGUAGUAUGGUUAUGUAAAACUGAAAUAUUGUCUGAGAAAAGAGUGAUUACUUGUCCAUGUCGAUUUCAAUUCCGGAAUUGAAAUGCUGAGCCAUCAACCACCACAUUCCAGGAUUUGGUUUGCGGUAUGGAUCAUCUGGAGUACCUUUUCCUUGCCCUAAACCACAAGCAAUGAAAACCUGCAGGUGCAAAUCAAAUUAAUCAAUCAUAGAACUACCUGAAAUGCAAACACACUUCAAGUGACAAGCCCUAUUUGAGCAAAUUCAGACUGGGGACCCCAGACCAAUGUUUUUUUGUUGGUGGUGCUGGACCAAUCCAAAGAAAAAGCAUAACAAGAACUCCCAGAUGAUACGGAACAUUGGUGCUUUUGGUGUCUCAAGGAUUUGUGCUACGUCCACUGCUGUUUAUAGCCACAUUCCAAUAAAUUAUACUGGACCUAUGUUUUGCCACAAAUUGGAGUGUUGUAUCCAGUAAUAAAGAAUUGUAUGCUAGCAAUUUAAUCUCGCAAACUUAUAAAUAUUUUAAAUAAUCCAACGUCCAGAGCACAAAAGUCGUGAUUAUAAUCACUGAUCAGAUAUCAUGGAAAGGAUAGGGAUCCAGGUUCUGUGUUUUUGGUCUCAUAAACAAUAGCAGACUAAGAUCUAAGGCUCACUUUGACAUUGAGGUCAAUUCUGUAAUGUCGUUUGAUGUAACCUUUCAGGACCUAAAUGACUGUCUAACUCACUUUUUAAAUCUAUACUGCAAAUAUAGAUAUUAAUUAGUUCAAAAUCACACAACUGUGAGAAAAAACAACAGCUGUAUAACAGAACAUAUGUAAACUAACAGGCUUUCCAACAAAACGAAAGUUUAUUUUACAACAUUUUUUCCAUAGCACAUUAAACUUCUGUACUUAACAGCACAGAAGUUGCAGACUUAUAAGAUCUAUGUGAUUUAAGUUAUAGCACAAUGCCAAUUUCAGUUAUCAGAGUAUCAAAAUAACUGAUGCAUUCCUCUGUUACCUUUUCUUUAAAGGGCUGUUCAGAAGCUUCUUGAUACAUUUGAGACAGGUUUCAGAUAAAUAAGAUAAAUUUACAGCAUACCUGAAUAGGGACUUUAACACACUCGAUAAAGUUAUCGAGGCGUCCAACUUUGGAGUCAACAGCUUCCUGCCGCUUAUUCUUCCAGCGAUCAAUGUUCGACUCAUUGGUGAAUAUGACCUAACAGUAGACAAAAAAGAGUUGACAUUAUUCCCCAAGAGAUGAUAUGGCACUGAAAGCAAAGCUAUACCUCCAUCCAUCAAUGCAAGGCGUAUUUUGACUAGGAAAAGGUUGACAAACAAUUAGUAAAAUCAUACGCAUGUUUAGUGCAUAGAAGAUGCAUCACAUCAUUGAUUUUGUAACAAUUUACAGUAAAUUUUAGGAGAAAGUAAUGGUCAAAAUCUAUUUUGGAAGACUUUCAUUAACCAAAAUUCGCCUUAAUUUAAUGGACGGAUGUUAUGCAUGUAUGAGCAUGCUACAUGAUACAACAUAGUACACAAAUAAAAAAUGAAUAAGAAAAGAAGUGAAAUACUAAACUAAGUAGUGAAAAGAAAGCAACUAACCAGUUUGUAACCAUCAUUGUACAGACUUUGCAAUUUUUUUGGAAUUGAUUGAUGCUGUAAAGACCACUUGUCUGCACCAAUGCUGCACGUGCAGAAGGUUGGAAACUACUAACGAAGUAAUUAUUAAGAAACAGCAUGCAAAAUAGAAUGUAUUGUGAGUCAUAAAUUCCACUUGUAUAAAUUUGUCAACUUCGGAGAACAAUACGCCAAAAGUGGGUUCUUAUCAUUAUGCUCAAGGCCAUCAAAACAUCACUUAAUAGCUGAUACCUUCGUUUGUAAACCAUACAACACCAAGGCAAAAGGCUGACAGAUGAAGAAAAAUUGAAAUCUCCUACUGACCAAGAUUCUCCAAACUCAAUACAUGGAUGCCUAUGGAUUUCCCUAGCAACUCACAGCAGUGAAAAUUCAUACAUAAUGUAUGGUUUGCAUUUAAUUCAACAUCAUGAAAGUUUCCGCUAUAAUGGUGUUUGCAUAAUUUUUUAAGGCAUAGUGCUACAUGUUUGGUUUAUAGCAAGAUUCAUAUGAUAGUUUAUCUUACACAAGAGAUAAAAAAGAAAACUCGACCAACUCCAAAAAGGUAAGAAUCUACCUAUCAUCACUUCCUUAAGAGAGGUAGUUACACGAUCUGUGACUGCAAGCACUGGGGUUCGCCCCCGGGUGGGUGGCCUCUCAACUGGAGGCUCUAGAAAUUAGGCUAUUGCUCGGUUCUCAGUAGUCCUAACUUAUAGACAGAUGACAGGAUAAGAAUGCUACUUUAGUUCAUUCAAAAUAACAGAAUGCCAUUAUAUCCAACUCCUAGAAAAACUUCUAACCACUACCUGUAGAACUGCAAUCAUAAUUUAAAACUGUAUUUAGCAAGGCAAUUAAAACGCAUCUCCACUGUAGAAGACUGAUUAAUGGUAAUAAUGUCCACUACACAAGCAUCUAGAAUAUCAUUUAGAAUGAAACAAUCUUGUAUAUCUUACAUCCUCACUGAUGUUUUGGCAAGGCACCCAUCAAAAUCAAAUGCAGCAAUCUUAGCUGAAGCAUGAAGGCCAUCUUCCUGGACAUACAAUUGGAAGAAAAUUAUUCCUUGAAAAGUCCGUUAGACCUUAUAACCAGAAAUAUUGUAUGACAUAAAUAUCAAAAAACCUGUUCACGGAAGAUAACUGUCUCAAAAGCCUUCCAAUGAGUGGGAAGUGUAGCACCCUACGUCCACAAACAGCAGGAAGGCACAUGUAGCAAUUCAGUAUAACCAUGAGCUUAGCAGAAGCAGCCAAAAAUGGUGUGAUAGGGAGCCCAAUCACUUAGCAGAAGCAGCCAAAAAUGGGACUAGCUAAGAAUAAUAUAACUACCUUGUAAUCUUUAUUGGUAUCAGAAACUGAAAAGGAUAUCACUGGACGUAUUCUAUUGUUCCCUGCAGAAAACUGUCAGGAGACAAAAUAAAAAAAAGAGUAAUCAGGUGUUGAGCAUUGCAAUGAUAUUUUUAAGGAAAAGAUGAUGGUUGUUUUCCUAUUCAUUACAGGAGUGAAAUUUUUUUAACAAGGUUAGAUUUGCAAUUCUUAAAACUGGUGCUUCAUAAUUUGCCACUCAUAUCAUAAUGACAUGUGGGGUCAUCAUUCAUAAGUCAAUGGUGUGGGAAGGGUGGCAAAUUUCAGAGGUUAUUGAGUGGAGGGGGCGAGGUGCAGGCGUGCAGCUGCUGCUCACACUCGGCCAGGGUAGAUGAGGGAGAGAGGGUACCGAGCUCGGUCGUCACAUCGCCAGACGCGUGUCAAAAUGCCUCUGAUCAGUUGGCAUGCAGCAGAGAGGCAGAGAGAUACAGAAAGCUGAGCUGGCUUCCAGCGGCCAAGUGAUGGAAAAAUCUAAACCAUCUACCCAUAUUCACCCCUCUAGUUAAAUUAGUAAAUAAUCUCUACUUUUUUUCCAAACUCAGACGUGUGUGCUGUGUAACAUGUACAAAUCCCAUUUUAGUGGGCAUGCACAAAGAUAGGUGAUCAACAAUUUUAAUGUUUCAAUUUCUAAAAGAGCUAAUCAUUAUUUCGACAUCCUAGCCGUGACCAGUUAACAAUUGGGGUAGCCUCAAAAAAAUAUAAAAUGAUAUCCAAUUUAGCUCAAAUUUGGCGAACAGCUUAAACGAUGUUUGUGCUUUCUAAGGUAUGACACGAACUCCAGGAACUUUAUUGGGCUUCUAAUUACAACUAAGCAAAGAAAGAUGGGUGCUACUAACAUGGAUAUAAAUUUGUAGCCUAAUUUAAUCUUCUAGAAAUACCAAGAUUCCGACCUAGGUUCAUUAAACGAUCAUACUUGCCUAAACAUGAUGACUGUAGGCUAUACUAUGUAAGUUCAAGUUCUUCACAAAAAUUCACAUCGAACAAGCAAAAGACAUUAAGACGAUUUAAAUUUGAAUUGAAGGAUCAAACAUGACAAACAUGCAAAUGCUACAAUUGAAAAUGAUCAGUCUAGUGAAUGUGAAUUUUCUGGUGUGACCCUAAGUCCAGGCCAGGAGCAAACUAUUAUGACAACAUUUGGAGUUACUACACUUUGACAACUUCUGAAAAACAUAGAACUAAAAGCUUUAGCUGAUAUAAAUGUUGUGAUGGCCAAGUGGAGGCAUAUGAAUGUAGGUCCCCCUUGACAAUUUUACUUAUUUAUUUAUUUUUGUGUUUGCUCCCUCUAUAGGUGUCAUCAAUGGUUUAGGUAGAGUCCAAAAGCAUAGAAAGUCACCUUUACUUCUUCCAGAUUAUUUUCAGCACCUUCUUUAGAGAUCCUCGUGCUGUCAACCUAAAUGAAAUCAAGUGAUGAAUGGUUAUAGACAAGUUAAAACUAACACACACAAAAAUGUGUUGGUGCUGGAAUCAACUACAAGAUGCACAUGUUGAUUCGAAGGACAACCAUUUCUUCCUUCAGGCUUGGCUCACUCGACUGAUCAGCUGCAUUGCCAUCUCUCUUGUAAUUCUGCAAAAUGAUCAGAGAACAAAUCUGAGAAUUUACUAGCAAACAACAAAACGAAACUCUAAUGUAAGAUAACAAGUCAGAAGUCACCCAAACUAAAAACCAUAUAUUUAGGAUAAAUUAAACAGACAGCUAAGUGCAAGAAUCAUUUUAUUACUCCAAUCAUUCUGUUUAAACAAACAGCAUAAAUUUCUUUUCUUUUCCUCUCCCUUUCUUCACCAAAAGCACUAACCUUUUCCAUAUCUACAGAGUACAAAACCACCUAAAAGUAGACAUACCCAGCAAUUGAUAGCAAGGAUGCCACCCAGUUUAUAAAAGUUAUGAGUGACCGAUUAUUUACCUCACCCAACUCCAGCAACUUCUCACGGUCAUUAUUCUGCAUGCACCCAAAAUCUAUAUAUUAGUCUCCAUAGGCAGAAUAAAAUUCAAAAGUAUUGAAACAUAUCAAAGGACCAACCUUGAUAGAAUCAAACCCCUUAAGAUUCUCCACAGGAAAUAAUGGGUAUGAUGAGGCAGGGAAGCAUGCAACAUGGUACCAUUUGGUGCUGUCAUAACCGCGUGGGUCAUGAGCAGAGGCACCGAGGCGGAGGGCGCCUUUGGCAAUAUUCUUACUGCAUCCCUUGCAGGUGGAGCGGCCAGACUUUGCAUACUCAACCAAGACACUUGCCUUUUCAGACACCCACUUCAUGGAUGAAGACAUGUGAGCCUUUACUUUCUUUGGACUAGGCUCAUCCAAUGGAUCGACUGUCUUGUCUACCUUAUCAUCACGAUUCUGUAAAGGAAUAGUUCUGGUUAUUGAACUGAAAAUCAGGACAAGAUUUUCAAUAGAAAUUUAAAUAUCUUAUACAACACUAACAAUUUAUUGAUUUUUCUUUACUGGUUUUGUCCUUACCUAGCACAUAUUGUGAUGGACAAGCAGAGUGAUUUGAAAGUAGAUAUGACCUUUAUGUUCGCAUUUAUCAGUCUUUUCUGCGUGCCUUCUUUAUAGGUACUAUCAAAGGUUAGCUGGGUUUAAGUGCAUGUGAUUCAGUGACUCACCUUUACUAUCAAAGGUUAGCUGGGUUUAAGUGCAUGUGAUUCAGUGACUCACCUUUACUUCUUCUGGAUUCUUUUCAGUAACUUCAUUAGAGUCCCCUACGCUCUGAGCCUAGAAGAAAUCAAGUAAUGCAGAAGGUUACAGGUGCUAUAGGGGGAUAGAGUCAGCUGCAGAAUCGCUCUUGUAAUUCUGCAAAUGAACACGGUGAAUCUUCCUAAAAGCAUAUAUUGAGCGGUUCCGUAUCACAAGGCACAGAAAAUAGUAACUGAAUGCACGGGAUAUCUGUAAUGAACUGUGAAAUAGUUGCAGCAUUUUACAACUCCGAGAGUUUCAGUAGAGGAAACGAUGUAAAGUUUCCUUCAUCUUUUUAUGUGUAGCAAAAAAUGGACUCACAUCUAUCCAAUAUUUACAGAAACUAAUAACUACUGAGUACAAUACUUCUAAGUAAGAAUGACACUUGAUUUAGAUAAGCUGUAUGAUUGACUAAUUGUUACCUCCACUAACUCCUGCAGUUUCUCACGAUCAUGAUCCUAUACACACCAAAUCCAAAAGUUAGUAUCCAUAGUAAGAACAAAAUGCAAAAGCUUGCGACAUAAAAGCACAAACCUCGAUUGAAUCAAACCCCUUCAGAUUAUCCACAGGAAAUACAGGGUAUGAUGAUGUAGGGAAGCAUGCAAUAUGGUACCACUUGGUAUUUUCAAAGCCACGGGGAUCAUGAAAAGAGGCACCAAGGCGGAGGGCGCCUUUGGCAAUAUUCUCACUGCAGCCUUUACAUGCAGAGCGGCCAGACUUCGCAUACUCAACAGAGACACUUGCCCUAUCUGACACCCCCUCUGCAGGGGACGACAUCUGAGUCUUUGCUUUCUUUGGACUUGGUUCUGCAGUCUGGUCUCUCUUGCGAUUCUGAAAAUGAGUGAUUCUCAAUAUCAUUGGAGCUUUUAUAUUUGAGAAAAGAACAUAGGAAAAGCAAAGGCAGGAGCCCUGCUGGUCAUUGAGUAGACUGUGGGAGUUUGUUAAAAAAAUAUCCCAACAACUAUAGAUCACUUAUAUAGCAACUAAAAUCUAUUACGGAUUCCUUAAUCUCUUCUAUCCACAUUUCAUAUAUAUGUUGAUUCACUAAUCAGUAAUCACGAACCAGGACAAACAAACAAAAGUGAUUAACUCCCUACUUCCACUCAGACAAGAGAUCGCUGUGGUAUCUUUUGCAUUUUGAAUUAUGUGCUACACUUUACAUAUGCCUAUCCAAUCAUAUCACAUCAUCCUACAAGCACGCUGGCACAGGGUGGAAAAAUAACGCAGGGCAAUACCACUAAAAAAAUCAAUUCUACUUAUGGUGUUCCUUUAGAAAAGAAAAAUCAAUUCUACUUACAGCAUUCCUUUAGGAAAAAAUAAUUAUACUUACUCGCCAUAAAAUUCAUUUAUUAACCGUAAAUUUUGUUGAAACUAUUCUACAUUACCCAAAAUUGAGCAUGAAGAAAGCACAAAGUUGGGGUCUAUAGCAGAAACGUGAAAGUCAUUUCAACAAUUGAAGGACGCAUUACCUUCACUAGCUCAUGCAAUUCCUCACGAUCGGCUUCCUGCAGCCCCCAAACGCCACGCAUUAGUCCAAAAAUAUACAGAACGAGAUUACGAACGGCGCAGAAUGACAGAACCGACCACCCAAUGCGCGAACCUUAAUGGAGUCGAACCCAUUGAUGCUCUCGACGGGGCCAAGCGGGUGGGACGCGUCGGAGGGGAAGCAAGCGACGUGGUACCACUUGGUGGCGUCGAAGCCGCGGGGGUCGGGCGUGGAGGCGCCGAGGCGGAGCGCCCCGGAGGCGAUGGCCCCGCUGCACCCCUUGCAGGUGGAGCGGCCCGACUUGGCGUACUCGACGGAGACAGCCGCCGCCGCCGCUUGCGGCGCGGUCGACAUGGCGAGGCGGGCGACGCGAGCAGCGGAAGCGGGGAGGAGAAAGCGGAGGCGGCCGGGGCUUCGCGCGAGGGAUAGGGAGGAGAGGGGGGCGACGAGCAUGCGAGGUGGGGAGCGGGGAACUUAUGUUGGCGGUGGCCGGUGAGGGCGUGGGGCGGCGGCUAGGGUUUCGUGCAUUGGAUGCGGACGGUGGGCGCGGGGAUCGCGGUGGUGGCCGGUGGAGAGAUAUUGAUUUCCGGCGGGAAGAAAGAAGGGUUUGGGCAGCGAGCCCGGUGGCGGUGUCGCGGACUGCCGUGCCGGUGGCGCCAGGCGGCAGGCGCCAGGGUACUACUUCUGUCUGUCUCUGGGGGCCGUCCUCGUCGAGUUGUUCUACUCCAUUUUGUGGAUGGAGGUCGUAACGGAACGGGCCUGCCGUAGAAAAGUCGUGACAGGCCAUCAUGGGUUUCACUGUUUGAAUAUGGGCUACUUUUACAAGAUCAGCCAAUUCGGCCUGGUGAUAGCGGAUCUGGGCCUGGAAAUUCAGACACCGCCAUUUCCGUGAGUUUUUUUUAAAAAGGGGAUAAAAAAAACAAAAUUCGAAAAAGGGGUGCCAGUUGGAGAAAUUUAGGGAAAUGGGUGCCUCCCGCCCGCUGGGAGGGCGGAAAGGAGCCUCCCGCCCAACCAUAGGGCGGGAUGCUCAAAAAAAAUUUCCAGGGACCUCUUCGCGAAUAAGAAAACUUUUUUUAUUCGCGAAGAGGUCCCUGAAGCAGGCCUCCCGCCCGGCCACUGGGCGGGAUGCCUCCCGCCCGGCCACUGGGCGGGAUGCCUCCUGGUGCAUUGUUAUUUCAUGUGUGUGUGUUUUCUGGCUUCCAAAAUUCGUAACAAUUCACAGAAAAAUCCAAAAAUAGCAAAACUAGUUUUGUUAGAAACUAGAUUUCAAACUCUAUAACUUUUGUUAAUGGAGUUUAGUUUGAAACAAAAUACUUUUACCCCUAUUUUAAAACUAAGAUUAAGAAAAGUUUAUGCUUAACUUUAGGAUUUCAUGGUUUGUUGUUUAUGAAGUUUGGUAUGACUAUUCUAUAAACUCUAGGUACCUUUGUGCAAAGUUUUAAACUCAAAUUUGAUGUAAAUUUAACUUCUUUUGUCUUGAAUUUUUCAAAUUUGAAAUGUUAACUAAACCUAAUUAUAACCCUUUUCUAAUUAAAAUCUAUUAUUAUUCUCUAAUAUGAUAUUAUUUAAUAUCUAAUAUAUAGUCAAAGUUCUAAAACCUAUAAAGUUCUAAAACCUAUAAUCUUAUGCUCCUGGUCCAUUUUUGUUAUAUUUUUUCUUAGAUUAUUUGUUUCAAAAACUAUUUGAAAUUCAGAAUUUUUUCAAAUAUAAGAUUCAUUCGCCAUACUCUUAUGUAUGCACAUAAAAUUUUAAUUCAAUUUUCCAAAGAAGAUUACGGUAUCUAAAACUCGUACGAAGAUAGUUAAACGAUAACAUUUGCAACGUAGAAUCUAAAUAUUACGAUAGUACAAUACAUGAAGCCAUUUAAAAUAAAAUAAUAUGAUAAUAAACAUUACAAAUAUUACAAAUACAUGAAUCCAAAUAUUGUGUCUUCAGUCAAUGCGGCAAAUAUUACAGAUACGUAUUUAGGUCUGAUAGAAUCUCAACGCGGCAAAUAUUACAAGAUGACUGAAGUCGCUGCUUACCCAAUCUUGAGGCACAUCAUCGUCAUCAUCAGACGAAUCGGCAUUCAUUGCUUCAUCCAAUUCACGUUCUUCGUCUUGCAGCUGUUCAACAAUAAAGGGUAUGUUCUCCCCCUCAUCAGCCACGCAUUGAGGUGCUGCGGUGCCACCUGCCUCAAUGUUUGCCUCCUCGACUUCUUCAUCAAUAUUUUCAUCCCCCGGACCAGCUUCAAUGUUUAUCAAAGGGUUUUGGUGCACACUAACAAGGAGUACCAGUGGCCACUGCCAAUGACUUGCAUUUUGCAGAUAAGUUAACCAGUCCUCGUUGCUUGCAAGUGGCAUAAGCUCCCAGAUCAAAGCGUGAGUGGUACGAUUUAUGACGCAUUGAACACUCACAGUGUGUGUCUCCUGAUUAAUACUUAGUCCCCUCAUUAACCAGUUGCAUAAGGAUUCAAAUGUCCUCUCGUGCGGUCUGGUAAUUCCUCUGACCGCACAGUUGAAUUCACUUAAAUCUACCCCAUUCGGCCCAUAAAUUACAUUUCCUUCUCCGUAAUAUAUACUGAAAAUACCCUUCUCGGAAGACAUAUCUGUCAAUCAUUAAUAAACUAGUUAUACUACAUAUUAAUACACAACGAACGACGAUCCUAAAUUUCAGCGACUCUCAGAUUAUAUUUUACAGAUUCUAAACUAUUCAGAUUAUAAAUUAUACUAAAAACAAAUGAAAAUACUAAAACUAUUCAAAACAUAACUACUCUAACAAAUAUUUCCUAAAUUAUAGUUAUUUUCAAGUACUUAUAUGGCUAGAACGAGAAUAUACCUCAAAAUCGACGUGUGGACAGGGCUUCGCCGCUUCCUCUUCUCUCUUCCUCUCCUCUCUUUCUCUUUUUUUUGAUUUUUGCUGGAUAAAAUGGCAUUUUUGGGGCAGGUUGGGGUUUAAAUAGCCGGUGGGGGGACCUCCCGCCCGACCAAAGGGCGGGAUGCCCAUCAGCACAACAUCCCGCCCUUUGGUUGGGCGGGAUGCCCUCCCAGGGACCUCUUCGCGAAGAAAUUAUUUGCGAAGAGGCCCUCGGGUGACAUUCUGCCUGCUGGGUGGGCGGGAUGUCCCGGGCCCCACGCGUCCCGCCCGUUCAGCGGGCGGGAGGCACCCAUUUCUCUAAAUUUUCCCAACGGCCACCCCUUUUUCGAAUUUUUUUUUAUCCCUUUUUUAAAAAAAACUCCAUUUCCGUGGCUACUGCAGCGCAUCUCCUGCUUGCCGAAGCCAUCUGGAAGAAAGCCAAAUCGGCUCCACGCCGAAAGGGUGAGCCUUCGCUUUCCACUUGCCAGUCGCUCGCCUCCCGGGCAUAACAGUGGCCAUUUGAGCCUCAGCGUCGGUCAACACACGCGCAUCGGCGCAUGCCCUACUCUAGAAGGUAGCACGUCAAUGUCGGUCAAACCGCUGCUUUAUCUUGCUUCUUCUAACCGCCCAGCUUCACUCGUCAGCCUAACACCGACGUAUCUGGAUUCUCAAUGCUAAACAAGUCGAUGGUCGCAUCUCGAGCGCGCACUCGCAGGACAAGCCAACGGCUCGGCCGGUGGCGUCUUGCAGUCCGGGGUGCGAUGCCGCGACGUUCUCUUCUCCGGUCUCGAGGAAGGGGACCCAGGUACAUUCUCAGGGGCUGUGUGUGUGGAUCGUGUCACGCGAGAGCGACCCAGCCGAGCAAUGUCAGCACUCAGCAGGGUUGCUUGCAUGUAUCGCCAAUUGAUGGUGUGCUGCCACCCUUUCUUAACAUCCCCAGCACUCCAGCAGAGCUCCUCCUCUCCUACGCAUGGCCGGGGCGCAGAGCUGCAUCCAUCAAAUUAGCCACCAAUGGAUCACGCCGCCUCGCAUCCCGUCCCCGACGUCGGCAGCUUCUCCUACAGCUGGCCGACCAGCAAACCAGAGCGGCAGCCCGAGGAGCGCCUCGACCACGCCGGCGUCGACGGAUCCAUCGCAACGGACCCUGCGUCGGCGUCGCAGUGCAGCUUCGACUUCCGGCUAUCGCCUCCCCAGCAGACGGCCGACGCCGGCCAGAUGUUCCUCGACGGCCUGCUCCUCCCGCUGCAGCUCGCGAGCCGUCACGGCCAGGAUGGCGGCGAUUCCGGCCGCAAGGGGCCGGCGCUGGCGCGGUCGCUGUCGCUGGACUCGUCGCAGAGGAUGGUAGCCUCCGCGGCCGCGAGUAGCAGGCGGCACCGGCUACCCCGGCCAGCGUCGCAGACCUCUUCGCCUUGCGGCCGCGGUGCGGUGACCCCCGCGAGGAGCGCCGUGUUCAGGGCGAGCAAGCUCAGGUUGCCGUCUUUCGGGAGAUGCGGGAAGCGGCGCAAGUGGAUGUCGUUCAGGCUCUUGGCGCCCUUGUGCCGGAAGAUAGCGAGAUGCGUCUGGAGGAGGAAGGUGAUGGAUGUUUCGCAUCGUACCCAGUACGGUGGCGACAAUGUUAAGCUGUGUGAUUCAGGCCAGGAGAAUGCCAUCAGGGACGCUAUUCUUCACUGCAAGAGAUCCCUGUAGGCAGGCUGUAGUCACGAGCAUCGAAACAUUUGCAGGAGGUGUUGAGCUCUAGACUUUUCUCUUCUUCAAUUAAACCUUGUUCUAGCAGUACUGGAAUUUUGCCAGCGCUGAGAAAGGAAGGCAGCCGUGCGAGAGCGAAAUGUUAUUCGCAUGACAUGAUAAGUCUUUCAGCUCAAUCCAUAUUUCACGUUAAAACUGGUGCCAUAAUGAAAUGACUUGCAAAAACAUUAAAUGCCAACAGCGAAGUACCAUACACCGCCAGUUAUCAACAAAUUUAGCUCCAAGGCCAACCAGGCACGAAAUCUCAUUUCAGAAAUGGAAAGUCAUGGGACCAUACUGGAUAUGGUACUUUCAAAGGUGUUGAACUUGAAACCCCCCAAACAAAUCCCAGAAGACACUGAACCAUUCAAAAUACAUUAGUUCAAUCCCAUCAUGGAGUACCAAACCAAAUUCAGACACUGAUCCAUCUAAAAAGCGCACAUAAUAACAGAACGGAUCAUUUCAGCUCAAACCCCCAGCUGCACAAGCAAAACAAACAACAAUAAAUUGCAAAAACUGCUGGAAGUAGACAAAACACAAACAUAACUGCAAGUAUUGCUGCAACUUUUAUUCUCAUCAAAGAUUUAUAUUGCAGCUAUGAUUAGAAACAAUGAAGCUCUGGACAUCGGAACAUUGUACAAAUAUCAUUCCAUCCCUCUGUAGCCAUGGUUUGAGAUGCUAUGAAAUAUCAAGCAAAACUCAAGCAUCGUACGACAUGGCUUAGUUUAUUUGUGAAGGUUACAAUGUUAGAGAGCUCUCAUCAUUUCAGAUCAAGCCUCUGCUGGGACCUUCAGUCUCAAAUGACUUUACCUAUACGCAAUGAUGCAUAUUGCCAUAUUGGAUGCAUACUCAUGAGUCAUGACAAUGGACUACAAUGACAUAAAGAUUAAAUACUAUCAUACUGUAACCACAGAAAUAUGCAUACCUCACUAGCCUAGCACAAGCAAAAGGCACUAGUCAAUGAAAACUAGUACCACAAAAUUCCCAUGACAUUGAUAGAUAGCAUGAUAUAUUUCAAGCUUCCAGAUAGAGCAACUAUGCUGAAAGUUGAAACCAAAAACAAGAUCAACAAUUUUCAGCCGACAUGACUUCAAAUAUCAGCAGAUCACAACAAUCAGUCACGCUAGAGUUGCCCAUACAGAUAUAUACUAUCAACUAGUGACUUGGACCAACAGCCAUCCUUCCAAAACCGAAGGUGAUAGGUAGUCAUUUAUCAUAUUCAUAGCAAGAACCUUACUACAAAUCUAGUGCUUCUUAUCUUUCAGAGGACCCUUUGGAAUCUUCGAUAGGCACUUCUCGUUGAAGAUGGCAUAGUACUUCUUAAGUUCAAUCAUAGCCUUCUCACCAAAAGCAUCAACCUUGUCCUCAUACUUCUCAUACAGUACUGGGACAGUGUACAGCACCAUGAAGACUGCAAAGGGAACAGAAUAGUUUCCAUUCAUAACUUGCAUCAACAAUAAAAGGAGAUAUUUGAGGAAUAUAAGACACCCGAUCAUUACCAAUAUAAGAUAAUGUCAGGAAAUUGCAGCAGCUCCCAAGAACUGAAAGAAGCCAGAGACCUGCUAUAACCUGUGAUAAACAGAAGAACAAGUGCAGGGUAUCAGCACAAUACCAAGACACUGGGAACAAAAAAGUCCAAGGGGACAACAAACAUACAAUUAGGAAUUUCUUAAGAUCACGGCCAUGUCCAAUCUCCCUCAAGGUAGCGAAGCCCCUGUUGAUCUCAUAUCUCAGUGUGAGAGCAACAUUAACGGCCGCAUCCUCUGGGAUUUUCACCUCAGGAAUGUUUGGUGGAGACCUGACAGCCAGCAAUACCACAAAUUAAAGUCAUGUGAAAAUUAGCUCCAGGCAUGACAAUCAACAGCUCCAGGUCCAGAAUGACUUCAAUGAGUUUCAGCUUUCAUUUGAACAUUAGGAAUCACAGAAACUCACUUGUUGAUGAAAGUGGAGGCAUUGGACCACAGGAAAAGGACGGCCAGUGAGAGGAUGAGGCAGUGGCACACCAAGGUGAGAAGAUGGUACUCCAUGACCUCGAACAGGAGCCAGAUGGCUGUGGCACCAGCAAGGACACCGCCGGAGAUCUUCUUGUUCCUCCAUAGGACAAGAUCAGCAGCUGCAACCGCAUUUGUAUAUAAAUAAUCGCGUCAGUCCAAGCACCCCCAACAAAAAAGCGGCGGUUAAACAUUCCAGAUCCGUUUCCAAAUCCAGAUCGAACAGAGCAUCUAAGGGUUUAAGGGUAAGGACAAGCUGCGCCGCAGCUUAACCGCUGGAACUAAUCAUAUCAAUUAGCGAAAUCUUAACGCUACAGCCGCAGGAACAAACACUAAACCCUCGGAUGCUUAACCACUACGCUACAGAUCCCAAAACCACCAUCCAAACUCUCUUCAGUUUCAAAUCGUAAAGCAGCUUAUAGUGAGGUGACAAACUACGCGGCAGCAAAAGUAACAGUCCAGGAAGCACAAGCGAUCACGAAUGGAACCAGAUCGAGUUGGAUCUAGGCCAGACCAGGAGCGAAUCGGGACUACAAAUCGCGGGACUUACGCUUGCCGCCGCCAAGGACGGAGUGGACGGGUCUCUCGCGGCCGAAGAGGCGGUAGAUCUUGGCUUUCAUGGCCUCCGCCGCCGACGCCGACGAGGACCCCUUCUUCUUCUCGUCGUCCGAGUCAGACGACGACGAGGAGUCGCCGCCGUGGAACUUCUCGGAGAUCUUAUCCAUCACCGACUCCAGCACCGGCUCCUCCUUGUGCUCAGCCAUGCCGCCCCCUCUUUUCUCUUCGCCGCUGCCGCUGCCGCUGCUCGGAUGAGAAACCCCGAAAGCAAGCUUGUUGGCUGGUUUUUCUUCCCCUUUCUUCGCUGCGCGGUGUGCUCACACAAAGACGCCGUGUGUGCACGUAGCAAGGCCGGGUCUCCUUAUAUCCGGCACGUGACGGGAUCCUGGCCGUCCGUUUGAACGCGCAGCGGCCGUGGAUACGAGCCAAUGCCGUUUGAAUACAGGGCACUGGCUCGUUUUGUCCGCGCAGUAGGUGUCCCCAGUCCCCACGGAAAGGGAGUCCGCCUACCCCCCUUCUCUUAACGGCGAAUCAAGGCUCCCUAGUACAGAUUCGGGCCCAGCAGCAGUGGCUGAGGGUGUAGAAAUGGUAGCCGCGGGAUUUUGGUACUUAAGGGUUAAGUUUAAAUUCGUGGACAGGGAGGCGCCGGCUUCAUCGCGGGCACGUCACAGGGGGCCAACGAGCAAGUCUGAGGACGGUGGAGAUCGCGAGGAAAGCAUCAGGGUCCGUUCGACACGUGGCACAAUGGGGCCCUUGGCCGGCAUCCAUCGGCGUAGAGCGGCUGGUGGGCUGUAGGUGGGACCUGGGAAAAGAUGAUGGUCGGGGAGAAGGUUCUGGAAAGCGGCUACGCGGUUUGAAUUCUUUUCUUUUAAAACUACACGGUUUGAAUUCGACAUGACCAAGGCUCGUGCUUCUUGGCUAAGGGUCCUCCUCCUUUUUUUUGAGAUUACCUAAGGGUCCUUCUACGUGACGCAUUUUUUAAGAAACCUAGAAAAAGAUGUAUAAAUUCCAAAACAAAGGGUCUCGUGAAUUUAAAUAUUAACAACAAUGAUAAUCAGAUUGACUUGUGCAUAAAAUAAAAGUUAACAAUAUGAUGCAUGACAUCGAUUGAUCUCUCUGGUGUCAAAAUUUGCCAGUCUGCAGACGUUUUGUUUGUAUCAUGUGUAGCAAAUUGUUGAUAUAUAAAGUAAGGUGUAAAUAUGAGCACAAACGUUGUGUACUUGUGUAUACCUUUUACACGUCUUAUGAAGAGAACGUGCUACAACUAGAAUCAACUUUAUUACCCUCAAGUGAAAAUAGAAUUAUACAGUAAGGUGUCUUCAUCAAAUAGGUCCUGUAAAGCAAGGUUGGGGAUUUGUAGAUAUGGCUUUGGUUCUAUAGAGCACCAAGUUUUGUGAUAGGGCGCGUAGGUUGCGGUGAUAGCAGACAACUAGACAUUAUUCUCCUCAAACCAUGUUACCAGAUUAAAAUCCAUACUCAAUACACAUUUACAACAUAAAAAAAUGACGACCCAAAUCAUGUACCAUACAUUAGAAUGGCAAACAAAUUUGGAACCCGUACCCAUAUCAUGCCUCCGUAACUCAGUUUCAACCGUAUAUCCAAACACAACCUCGCCAAUUUAAAAGUUAUACCCUUUUCAUGCCACAAUUAAGACUGCAAUUCGUUAUGAGAUAACACAUAUUUUAAGCAAAUUUAGUACUCUAAUUCAUGGCACAAAUCGCUGGGAGAGGAGCUGUUGGAAUCUGGAAACAGGAAAAAGUCCAUUUGAACCAUGUAAAUUAUAUUUAUUUUAGAAUUCCAUCCACAACCGUGGACCUUGUGUUCUUAAAAUUCAGAACCUGACGGGGACACUUUGAAGUCGGAAAAAAUCACAUUGCCACCUUUUGCAGCUGUGCUUAGAAUUAAUAACACUUGAAGUUAUCUAUCCUUGACUAGAUACUUGUUUAUUGCCAUAUGCGGACCUAGUCCUAAACUAGCUCGUGGUACCCUUGAAGCCCAAUUUCCCAAGUGGGCCGAAGCCCAGCGGAUAAAAUGUUGGGCUAAGAAGAGCCCAAGAAUGCUUCUCUCCUAACAAAAGAGAAGUCAUGCCCUCGUACCAAACCUAUAUAGCUUCCGGAAGCCCGGAAGGCUUCCACGUUCUCCACCGUCCGAUCCAUCUCCCUCACCCGCCCGAUCCUCUCUCUAUCUUCUUCCUCCUCUCGGCUUCUGCCCGCGCCACGCCACUCGCUCGCUGGAGCGCGAAGGGGCGGGAGGUCGGGGAGCGGCCGGCAGUGAGGUCGCCACUGACCGGGGGAGGUGGUGGAGGCGGUGGUGGUUAGGGCUAGGAUUUGGGUUUACCGAGGUCCGGGGGUUUCAAUGGCCUCCGGAUAUAGAAGAGGAGGGGGCCGGGAGGCGGCUGAGGAUGGGCGGCGGCGGCGACGGUUUGGCCGGCGGCAAAGGGCGAGGCGGCGCGGGAGCGCUGCCAGUUAGGCAGGGCAAGACCCAGCAGUAAGACUCCCGGUGGGCAGUGCCGGCCGCGGGGGCGAGGACGCCCACCUCGUUAGGAAGGGUGGGGUCGAGAGGGUAGGGGCGGGCGGUGGGCGGGCGGCGCGGCGGCGGCCGCCGCCAGCCGAGGAGGAGGCCGGGGCGGAGGCAGCCGAGAGAUGAACAGUAAGUGGGUCUAAUAGGCCUCCCUCCCCGGUAUACCAGACUUUUCAGGUUUCAGGCUGUCAAGUAUAUCCCGAUGCUCGAUCAGCUCAAAUUAACUUGGUAACUCCAUGUUUCGCGAUCCAUCGAGCACAACCAAAUCUACUUCCCUUAAAAAAAACCCGAAACUGUAUUCCGGCUGUUAAAACUAUCACUACACUGCUGCUUCACGACAUGGUGAAGGCAGUUUUAAGGUCUAAGAUUGUUGAUCUGAAGUCUGAACGGUCUAGCGCUCGAACUCUGAAACUAUGGACUGUAGCUUGGCUAGCAUCAGCAAAUGAGAAUCUCAAACUAAAGCACUACUAACCCAAUUCGGCGAAGCAAAACGUGGCAUCACCAAAACCCAAGAAAAGAACGAGUUGGAUCUAGUGAGAACUGAGAACAACGAGAUACUACUCACAGAGUCACAGUCGCGGCCUCACGGGCAGCGGUGAAGAUUUGCCCCCUUAAGCUUCGUUCGUGAUGACACCGCGGUGGCGGAAACGCCAGUCGCCAUGGCCCAUGGGGCGGAGCGCAGAUGCGCAGCUGGAGCGGGGAGGAUUACCUGUCGGGGUCGAUAAGAGCAGCGCAAGCGAUGAGGGCGGAGCAGGAUGACGAUCCACUUGUAAAGGGAUCAGCGGAACGCGGAAGCUGGGAAUAUGCUACUGGGAUGUGCGGAUGCCCAACGGUCCUCUAACUCUACAUUAUAAAGCGAUGAUACAAAUUUGCAUCGAAGUCGUUGUAGUAUAGUGGUGAGUAUUCCCGCCUGUCACGCGGGUGACCCGGGUUCGAUCCCCGGCAACGGCGCUAUUUUUGUCUUUUUAUUUACACAGCGUCCGUUCCUUUUUUUCUCCUCCCUGGGAAGCUUGACGUCUUCAAUACCUAAGCAUGCCAUGGGGUGAACCAUCGCGGUUUUGCGCUGUACUGACGCGAUAGCAACUCGCACAGGAGAAAACUUUGCCGUGGCUUUCAAAUCUUCGUUUUUCCAAGGGUUCAAACCAACAGCAAUCAUGCCGUCCGGUGCCAGGACGGGAGUACUUCUUCGCUCUUCAAGCUUGAAACGGAAUUUUCCCGCUUUUUAGAUAACCAUGAAAACCCCAGCCAACAAAAGGUCAUGCAGCACCGUCAGUCGAUGGACGACACCACGACAGGACGUCCUCCCAAAAUUGACACCGUUCGCCACUCAGCUCCGCUGCCCAAAAGGUCAAACGGGUGAUCCCGACAGAAGUUUCCCUCGCACCGCUCAAGUGCCAAAUCGUUCCCAGCGCAGCCGAGCUUGAGCAGCCGCUCGGAGCACGAGCAGAGCAUCCCCAUCCCCGCCAUUACUCCCCGCCGUCCCUCUGCCCCGGCAAUAAAUGCAGCCGCUCGAGCCGCGCACCCACCCCCGCCAGAUCUGAACCCCGCGACAAGGCAGGCGAAGGAAGAGAGGAAGGGAAAAAUCUCGCCACUUCACCACGCCACCUUCCCACAUUUACUCCCCUACGCCCCCACCCCACGCGGCAGCGAUUCCACCCGGGCAUCCACCACCACCACCGUGCCGUGCGCACGCUACGCCAAUGCCAUUCCGCCGCUCCAUCGCCACGAGGGACUCGCCGCCGCCGGCACAACCGCAAUGUCCCUCCUUUCCUCGCUGUCCAACCUUGGCCUCGGCUACUCCAUCGCCAUCGCGCUCGGCUUCCUCGUCCUGUUCGCCUCGCUCCUGCUCGCCUCCUACCUGUGCUUCCGCCGCGGCGGCGGGGACUACUGGGCCGGGGAGGCCGCCACCACGGCGUCCAGCUCCGGCCACCUCUCCAUCACCGUCCCGCGCGUGCUCUUCGUCGCGGAGGGCUCCGAGUCCCCCGACGCCGCCUACUCCUCCGCCGCCGCCGCGUCCUGCUCCCCCGUCGGGCUCGACCGGGCCGCCAUCGCGUCCUACCCCAAGGUCCCGUUCUCCAGCAGGGCCGCCGAGCCCGACGCCAUGUGCUCCAUCUGCCUCAGCGAGUACAGGGACGGCGAGAUGCUGCGCGUGAUGCCCGAGUGCAGGCACGGGUUCCACGUCGCGUGCCUCGACGCCUGGCUGCGGCGGAGCGGCUCGUGCCCCGUCUGCAGGUCCUCGCCCAUCCCGACGCCCACCGCCACGCCGCUCGCGACGCCGCUCUCGGAGCUCGUUCCUCUCUCGCACUACGCCGCCGACCGGAGGCGCAGGUGAUGGACGUUGCCACACCGGUGCAACACGGUGCUUGUCACUGCAUUACUCUUUUUUUUCAUCUCUUUACGUUCGAGGAUGUGAAGUUGUGGGUUGCUUUACUGUGGGGUUGUUUUAGGAUAUCUAGAGAAUUGUUUAAUUUGGAAGUCACAAUGAUCUUGAUUAGAUUUUGUAAUGUAGAAGUAGAUGAUUGGAGCAGGGGAUAGUGUAAAUAACAAUACAGAUUGCUUGUUUCUGUGAGUAACCUUCUGGUAAUUUAUCCAAUACUUAUACUUACUACUGAAACUAUGGCCAGAUGGAAUGUAGAGAAUUGGUGUAUGAUGGCUACUUAUGUCACCGAAUGGAACGCAUAACUAUCACUUUUUAUUUUUCAUCCUUUGCUGCAUUGGGGACUUGGAAGAACCUUUGCAUUUACCUGAUCCCAUCAAACUUGCAUUUCGUAUUGGAUUUUUGUAUGUCAAGUAUCCAAGCUAAGCGACAGAUCUUAUAUGAACCUUUAUCAGUAUAGGAAUUUCCUGGGUCCAGGAGACUUUUAGCUCCGCAUGGUUGGUGAGCAGGACCAUCAAUGCCCAUGCGCUAAACGAAUGUUAAUUUGUCUUUUAUCUUCGUUGGCAUGGGGACAUGCGGAGUAUUUGUUAAGGUUGACUGAUUUACUUUAAGGUAAGCUAAUUUUACGGUUGUAAUUUUAGCUCUAAUGUCAGGGUUACUCUGUGGCUCUGUGCACCUCUGGGUAAUAAUCAUCACAAUUAGAAAUAGAUCUCUGUACAUGUUGCUAAACAUACAUGAUACUGGACCUUGGAAGCGGCGAAUUCAAUGUUAAUAUAGUGAUGCAGAAAAUUGGAUCCAACCUACUGUUUUGCUCCUGUUUGAGAAUUCCACUCAUUUUGUUGGCAUGACAUACAUGGUGACUUCUUAUUAAAGCACAUCAUACAUAUCAAAACCAAACUCAGGCUGGUGCCAAUGGGGGGCGAUAUCGCCCCCCUGUCGCCCCAGCCCAGGCGAGAGCGAGGCGAGAGGCAGGCGAGAGGGAGAGAGAAGGCGGUAGCACUACCGCCGGGCGAGAGCGGGCGCUAUCGCCCCGCUCUCGCCCGCGUUGGCAGGCGGUAGGCGGGCGGUAGCAAGGCGGUGCGCUGGCGUCGGGCGAGAGCGGUGGGGCGGGAGUGACGUGGCGCGUUUCUAUUGGUCCACAUGGAGGUUGAAAUAAUUAAAUUUGGAAAAGAAAAUCUGACGUGGAGAAAAAAGAAGUGAGAGCUAGCACUAUAGUGUCUGCAUUGGAGGGGUAGGGUGAGAGUGGGGGCGAGAGCUGACGUGGCGGAGCGCGAGUGAGGCGAGCCACUGGACUCAGCCUCGAAUUGAGGCGAGCCAGUGGACUCACCCUCGUAUUGUUGUAGAUAUUUACCUACGGAGUACUCGAACUGUGUUUGAUUUUUCUUCUCAUGCCAUAAUGACUGAAAAUAAUCUUUUUGUGUACAUAUUAUAAUGACUGAAAAUAAUCUUUUUCGGUACACAUUCAAUUGCGCCUCCCAAUUUCCCUGUCGCAUAUUGUACGUCUGUUGGCAAGUCAGUGUAUCGUGGUACCAUUUGAAGUUGCUUGUGGGCUUGGGGUAGUACUCUAACUGGGUCCACAUAAGAGUGGUACUUACUCAGGAAUUUCAAAAGGCUGAUGUGUUAAUGUAAGGGCCUAGAAACUAGAACUGCAACGGCAAGCAAAGCAUUACUUAUUACUUGCACUAUCAGUAAUUUUAAUACAUUUCCCUAGUCCACCCACCUGCAAAAGUUUUUAACGAGGCGGCGCUUGCUCCCUUUUGUCUUAUGCCCUCAUAAUGAAUUUCUCUUUAGUUACUCCUGUUCCACAAUGCUUGUAAGGCCUUAGAAGCUUGACAGCAAGAAAUUGGAAUUCUGUUGAAGAUGGUACCUGUUGAUAUUGAUGCCUGGGAAGUUCUGAAUUCAACUUUUAUGAUAAUUUGGAAAUGAAUUCUCUGAUGCACUUGUCUUAGCUUCUGAUUCUUGUGGGUGUAUGGUUAAUGCACUUGUUGACUGAUUGUCUGCUUCUGGUUUACUCUUGAAACAAGACUAGCAGCUUCGACACGCUUUCGUAUUUGCAUAUCUGUUCUGACUAAAGUCCUGAAUUUUCAAUCCAUGUACUGUUUCUUUUCUUUUACCUACAUGCUUCAACUUGCACUCAUGGUUGAACUUGACCAGUUAGAUUGUUUACGUUCAUCCGUGAGUUUUGCAUACCCUUUUGAUCCCACUGUGAGCGCAAAACGUUUCUUACAAAUGUUCAAAGACAUGUUUAUAACGUAGAAACAGUAUAUGUUACAAUUCCUGUAGGAGCUAGGAAAAAUAUUGUUUUCAGCACGUUUUAGAGUCUAAUGAUUCAGCGAUUCCUGUGCUUGUACUGAAAAUCAAAUUGAUCUCUUAACAUUAAAUGUCAGAAUAAAUGGUGUGCUACCAUAAUAACUGGAUAAGCAGGGUUGCAGGAGCAGACCAGAAAUUGAGGAAAUAAUGGUAAGUCCAUGCUGAAGUAUUAUUUGCUAAUGACCUGCUGAGUGAACAGCCACUUGUACAGCAAGGAGCUGCUCUCGCCGUGGCUGGCACGACUUGGCUGAAGACCCUCGCAGUCGCAGUCAUUGGAGCGAAGAGCAAAAGGUGGAAUAGUGGAUGAUGGAGAGCAGGAAGCUGGCAUUAUCACGCCGGAGAAAUGGCGAGCAGUAUGAGGAUGCAGGCAACCGAGCGUACAGGCGUACGGUGUACGACAUGCAUGACGAACUGGCUACCUCCGGAAUACGCGUCUCCAUCAUGCACAAUGAGAGCAGGUGAGCAGGAGCAGCAGGGGGGACGGUGCUAGCGACUGGGCGAGCACGGGCACGCGCACAUGGGCGGGCACUGGAGGAGGGCAGGGCAGGGCAGGGCACGACAUUGAACCGGGGCUGGAACGGCCGUCGCCCAGCGGGGCAAGCAGGUCAGGGCUGUUUUCUAGUGUGGGUGACUGGCGGCACGCUGCAAUGGCUGCAUGCAUGAUGCUUGUACUCUUGUAGCAUAUGGAACAGAUCUCCAGCUGCACGAUCUGGACGGAUUUGGAGAGGACGAACCAAAUUGGGGGAAGACGACGGAUGCGUGCCGAUUUGUUUUGCGGAAGGGAGAUUGUUUUACUCGCUGCGGACGAGGCCUUUCGUUUCUUUGCGAGGAUUGUUUAGACGAUGCUCUGGCGACGCCGAACAAGCCUGGCUUGCAGGAAUUCAGUUCAGAAUGACGCCCUCUUGCUAAAGAAUCUUCACAGGUUCUUCGAUACAGAAAUGGUCGUUUACCAAGCACAGCCAAGAUGGUGGUCUUUCUGGUAGCGUGGCGUGACAUUCUCAAGUUGCUGUACUAAUACAAAGGCUUAGCCACAGUCGGUUUCACCUCGAAUUCGCGCAGCGGCUUCCACAACAACGGCGAUUGCCGAGUCUGUACGUCGCACGCCGCCGCAACCGACAGCACACCUGGCUCCGGAGAGAAGAAGGUGCGUGAUCAACUUUGGGCCUCAAAAGCCUUGGCGCGGAAAUGGAUGCAAUCUACGGCCCGUCGCCGUCCGGAGAGACAAACAGAAGACAUUUCAUGGUGAAAGCUCUCCCGCGCCUCUCAUGGCGGAGUUAACGACCAGCAUCGCAGCCUGGUCCAGGGGAGUUUCCGCUCAAGCGCACGGCAUCUCGCUCGGCUCGGACGCGCGGCUUGUUGCGGGAGCAGCGGCGUGCAGACCUCGUGAGUGGGAAGACGGAAGGUGCUGAGGGAGGGAUAUGCCUUUGCGCUUCCGCUGGAACGGAAACAUGGGGAAGGACGGCGGCGGCGGCGGCGCCCGUCGUUGGGCAGGCCGGAGGUGGAGCAGUCAGAAGGGGUUUAGUGAAAAUAUCCGAUCUAUCAUUUUACAUAUGGACCCCUAAUCAAACCAGGGGGUUUAAGAAAAUGUCCGAUCGAAAUUUUACAAAAGGACCCCUGUUUCGAUCGGGGUUGGUUCCCCCAUACUUCAGGGCGGCGGCGCGGCUCGUGCCCGCAUCGUGGAGAUCUAUCAUACUCACCCGCUCAUAAGGAGCCAGGCACCCCGCGCCGCACCGCUCGCAUUCCCAGAUCCUCCACAGUUGCCGUCGUGGCGGCGCGACGGGAGCGAUGUGGCCGGAGACGGCGAAGGAUCCUGCUACGAGCGGAUGGCCGUGUUUCCGACUUGCGCUUGCUUUGGCACCCUCGCCUCGUCGGCGCCGCCCGUGCUCGCGUCCUCCAGCUCCAGCUCGUUGUUGGUUUAGGAGAAAGUGCUUUGUUGCAAGCUUGAAGCUUCCAUCUCCUCGCAUUGAAGCUUCCAUCUCCUCGCAUUUUGCAAUCGCGUGAAGGAUGCGCUGGAGAUAUCCGGAGGUACAACUUGCAAGAGGGCUAGUGAUGUACUGAAACUGAAUGUAUUAGCUUAUGAAGGCUGAGAAUACACAAUUACACAUACAAAGUUACAAACUUCAUGGCUUGGUUUUGUCAGCAGGUUUCGAUGAGGCUGAGGUUCAUUUGCCUUUAUCAGCAGGAGCUAUAUGCUCACUCUUUCAUUUGCCUUUAUCAGCAGGAGCUUUUCAGCAUUUUUCAGGUGCGUGCAAACCAGCUUGAAUCUUUUGAGCAGCAUGUGAACAGAAAAAAAACAUAGGAAUUUAUCCUAGCAUUUCUCAUCUCCUCUGCAAUGUUCAGCAGUAACUGGAAUCGACGGUACAAAGGCAAUUACUUUUACCAGGUAACAUGGGCAAUGAGAGAUAUUAGUGGUAUGUCUAAUAACAGUCUGUUGAACAUUCUGUAAACUGUAACCUUCUUAUCUGAAAUUGGAACACCGAGAUUGGUGUACUUGAAACAUAUUUGAAGUCUUAAUCCAUGUAAGUUUUUCCAAUUUCGUAAAUUAAUAAUCAGUAUAAAAAAAUCAGAGAUCAAUUACAGUUUCAGUAGAGCUAUGCCGGAUUUGGAUUGAACAAAAAAUGUUUGGCUCUCUAAGCUACAUUAGAUAACAUGCCAUUCUUAUCAUUGUUCGACCCGUGAUUAUAUCUAGCUCUAGUAAGUAAAGAUUUGGGAAAAAGAGAAUGCAAACUUGAUACCAGCAAUUGGGCUUCCUGAAUGCCAAAGCUGAACUUUUCAAAAAAAAAAAAAGCCGAAGCUGACUCUGACUUUCAUGUCCUGCCCCAGCUAUUUCUGCUUCUUGCAGAUGAACAAUGACAGCUCGAAAGAAAAAUUUUGACACCCAAACACAUCAAAUUCUUUGUAUCCUGUUAAUACUGAGCCUUAAGAGUUAGUCAGCUAGUUAUGGAUAAAAAGAAAAGAAAAGUGAUGGGAGAUGGUAAAAAAGACGUCUUUUAAGUAUUUUGGGCCUGUAAAGGGCCAUGAAAAGACUCGCGGUUUCUCAUAAAAAAAAUUAGAUAACCAUUGGUCCAAUUAUCCCAACACAUUUAGAAUGGCACUACACCACCGAGCAUAAUUAUACAUCACUUGUGAUGAAAUCAGAACCCAUCGCCUGAAGCGGCCACAAACGGUCCAGAACCAUCUUCUUCCUCCUUGCGCCGUUCGUCGCCCCGCUCGCCCCAACCCCACCCUCCGCCUUCGUCUCCAGUGGCAGGAGCCGCCGGAUUCGCCGCCGUCGACCGCCGCCAUUGGAGUUGGAGCUGCUCGCCCACGCGCCGCCGUCGGGGUUGCUCACCCCCACACCGCCCUCCACCAUCGCCUCUACCGCUCCCGCCGUCGAUUGUGCCGCCACCAACCCCCGCCGCCCAAACCUACCUCCGUUGAGCGCCAGGGGAGCUCGCCGUGACUCCCCCGCUGCCUCCGCAGGCCACCGGAUAUCCUCCAUGGCCCGCGGCCCGCGGUGUCCGCCGCCUCGUCCACAGUCCGUCACCACCGCCCGCUACCAUGCUGCCGCCGACCUCCUUUUAUGGCCGGGCACGCAGGAGACAAGCCGGCCCCGGCAAUCUGAACUCCUGAACCGUAACCCUAAUACGACAGCGAGCGGAGGAAGACGAGUGGAUGAGGAAGAAGACGCAGCACGAGAGGAGGAAGAAGGCUGUCGUGGGCUGCGGAAAUUGAAUUGGGCCGGAUUCAACUCACUUCAUGUGAUGGCUCGCGCGUUUGUCGCGCGAGCGGUGUGUAGCCACGGCGCUACACCACCUGUGAACUUAACUGAAACAAAGCUCGGGAUGUAGAGCCGGCAGUAAACAGAGACAGACCAGAACGAUCAAGCUCCAGCAACAUAGAAAUCCUGUGGGAUUACCCCAUGGAGCUUCCUUGAGAAGAUCUCCGUUUGUCGCGCGAGCGGUGUAUAGCCACGGCGCUACACCACCUGUGAACUUAACUGAAACAAAGCUCGGGAUGUAGAGCCGGCAGUAAACAGAGACAGACCAGAACGAUCAAGCUCCAGCAACAUAGAAAUCCUGUGGGAUUACCCCAUGGAGCUUCCUUGAGAAGAUCUCAGUUUGCAGCUCGUUUCAAAUGUGUCAGAACUUGUGGUUUCAGUUCCACAAUUGUAGAAUGUUUUAUCGCUCAAUGUUAACUUUUUGCAGGUUGCCCUUAUGUGUAAUAACAGUUAGCUUUAAAACUGGCGGCAGGCACAUGUGGAUAGCGAUGAUUCAGCUUCUCUCUGUCGCUUCACACCGCUGAGCUAGAGCUCCCAUCAGCGGUGGCAUUUGAUUUAGAGUUUAGGGUUGAGAGGUCGAGUGCGGAAGGGUUCUCCUCUCCCUCGAAUCAUAGAAGCUACGCGGAAUUGAGGUCAGUUUGGUGGAAGUGGCAGGUGACUGAUAGCCAAGAAAGACGGUGCGUGCGUGGUACGCGGCCACCAAGGCGACAGUGGACUGGCGCUUGAGAGUGGGUCAUGGGCCCUUAUAGCUUUUCUGCGAAGCGAUUCUCUAAAAAAUCCUGCUAUGGUAAGAAUCCGCUGCCUACAGAAUCUGCUGGCAUAAGAAGCUGAGAGUUUGGCAACCUGAUUUUCUUAUAAUUGAUUAUCUGCACUGUGUGUGUAAUGACACAUAUACCUCUGACACAAACAAUACCUUAUUUGGUGGCAGAAUAAGCAUAGAAUGAAGUAAUCCAAUAAUCACACUAAUUUCUUAUAUUACAAGAGUGGCUAAAUUUGAAUCAAGACAUAAUUUAUCAUUGCUAGCCUAUUAAAACUCUUUUUUCUCUCUCCAAAACAAUAAAAGCAACUACUUGUGUAAAUUAACUACUUGUGGCAAAAUAAGUAUAGAAUGCAACAAUCCAAUAACAUAGCAUUCAUGUAAACACAGAAUUCAUGUGAAUCAUGAGAAAAUUAUGUUGGAGCAGACCGGCAGCAGAGCUCGUGGCGGAGCAAAACGGGCCGGCGGAGAUUGCGGCGGAGCAGAUCAGGCCGACAGAGAUUGGGGCGAAGCAUAUCAGGGUGCGCGACCGAGUUUCGAAGGCGGCGUGGCUGAGGUCUGGCUGUGGCGAGCCCGAGCGGCGCUGCAGGCAAGAUUAGGGCAGCGGCGCAGCCGAGAUCCGCAGCCAACGGCUCAGGCCGGCGUAGGGAGGAAGGCGGUAUGUGGGGGACAAGAUUGGCGGUGGGCGGUGGAGAGGAGGGGGGAGGGCGGUGGGCAGGGGAAAGGAGGGGGCCGAAACCGUAGACCGUCUUUAUAUUCGAUGGCAUUUUGGUUGUAAUUUUGAUGAAGUUCAGGAGUUUUUUCAUAAUGAACAUUUGAUGGCAUUUUGGAUAUAAUUUUGAUGAAGUUCAAGAGCUUUUUCAUAACAAACCCCACCGAAUCAGCGGUAUUUUACCUCAAGCGGUGGGAGGACCAAUUCCUUACGUCAGUUAUUUUCCCUUGGAGAAUCGUUUCUAGUGGAAUCGACGUAAAAUCGCAGCGUUUAGCGGGGGUUGUUGAUUAUUUUUUCCUAAGAAUCAAUCUAGAAUCGGAAACAAGCACGGCCAAGGUCCUUCAGUCCGUGGUGGCGGCGGAGGGUGUGCAGCGAGAUGGUGUUGGCAGUUGGCACCGGUGGCGGCAAGCAACGGAGGUGACUAGACUGAUCCGGCGACGUCACAUUCAGACAUUCAGAGUUGGUUGAUUUGAGGAUGCUCCUAGGACUGGUUGUUAUGGCACCACUGUUUUUUACAUCUGUCCUUUCUGAAUGAAGAAAUGGUUAGCAAGGUAAUUGUUUCUGAGAGGGAUCAAUAAACCCAUGGAAAAACAUGCGGCGUUAGAAAAAGGAACUCUGACAAAACAUGGUGGGUAGCCUACCAUGUACCAAGUACCACAGUCGAUAUAAAGGACACGGAUUAGUUGGUUUGCUCUCUUUCAUGCCACUGUGUCAGUGUCACAGACACGCAGCAGACAGAAACUACUCUGAAUCGAAGCUGAUUGAAUACGGCCUGAACUUGUAGGUAUCCUCUCAUCAGAAUUUAGAAAAGCACAUAAAUACACAAGCCGUUGAGCAUCAAGACAGACGUUUAUGAUAGUCACUCUUCUGUAACCAAAAAAAUGUACUUGUUACUUGUAUACAGAAGGAGAGGGGAGAAAGGCAAAAGAAGCACAGAGCUAGACAGCUAGUAGCAACAAAAAUAUAUGAAUCCAUGGAGGUGGCUAACGACCUUCUAACCGAAAUGAUCAGCUGACGUUUGCAACGCAGGUGGUGGAUUUGCUCUGCACGGUGGUGAAGGCCCCCACCUCCAGCGUGAUGGAGCAGUUCAUCUUGAUGUCGAGGUCCCUCUUGUAGAUGCCCAGCACGCUGACCCUCCCGGCUAUCUCCGUGUAGCUCGUGAGGUUGUAGUCCUGGCCGAAGAUGAGGUCGGUGGCGUUGACGUUGGGCGAGAUGCGGUCGGCGAGCACGUCGAGCGUGACGUUCAUGCGCACGGUGCGGCCGGCGCCGACCUCGCCCCCCGGCGCGUACGCCACGCCCACCGUCUCCCCGGCGUAGUAGAAGUCCGUCUCGCUGCGGCCGAACCGGAAGGAGGCCGCGUUGGGGUUCUCGAUGGAGACGUCGGCGCUGAGCGUGGCGUUCACGGACACCGGGUGCCCCGCCGCGGUGCCCAGGUCGCCGUCCACGCCCUCCAGCGUGACGCCGUUCAUGGUGAGGACGGGGUCCCGGACCUUGAACACGGUGAGCGCGAGCACGAGGGCGGCGAUGCCCAGGAGGACCACGGCGGCGCCGCAGCAGCCGCAGCACCAGAGCGCGCACCGGCGCUUCCGGAGGUACUGCGCCGAGCGCCAGCGCUUGGAGGAGGUCGCGACCUCCUCGUCCCCGGCGGCGCCGUCGGCCGCGGCAGGGUAGACGGUCGGGGACGCGGUGGCGAGCGGCCUCGUCGGCGGCUCCUCUUUCCCCGCCUCGGUGGCGGCGUUGUUGUACGGCCCUGCGGUGGCGGUCGCGGUCGCCAUGGGGUAGGGACUGGGAGGGGAGAGCAGAGGAGGCGCUGGCGAUCAAGCGUGCGGGACGUGAGAAAUCUUGAUGCUGGGUCGCGAAGCUCUUAUACGGUGGAUUCUCGCACGGAAGGCACAAAAGUUCUCGCUGUGGCGGGCCGCCGUGCAUCGCGUACGUGUUCUUCGCGACGGAGCCGGACAAACACGUCGGCUUGACUUCCGCCAGUUCGCCGCCGCUUGAACUAUGUGUGUGGACUGCACCACCAAUAAAUGGGCCGUGCAGGUUUCCGCUGACACAAAUUGACUCCCGGGCAUUUGCCGUUGCCACCUGCGUGUUUUUUUUCCCUCUCGAGAUAUGAUAGAACACGAGAGUCAAGUAGUCAACCUCGCUGCUUGUAAAAAAAAAAACAAAAACUCGCUGCUUGUUUGCGUUUACUUGUUUCUAGGCCUCCCAUGGAGGGGGUGUUUCCUGGGUCUUCUAAUGCCAUUUUGUUUAAAUGAUUCUCCCCUCUACAGAAGUGGCGUAUCCUGCUGAAGCCUGCUGAGCAAUCGCUACUGGAUGAGAAGACUCAGAAGCUCAAGUUCUGGCUUCAGGAGUUUGAUGGGAGGCCGAGAAAGGGUGACAACAUGGAAGACCUGCUUUAGAAAAUCAGUCUUUUUCCUUUUAUCUGUCUCUGUGUUUGUUGCGCACAGUAGUAGGGUUUUUCCCUGGUAGUUCUGUUCUGGUCGACAAUGUUUGCUGGUAACCCCAGCGUGUGUCGUGCUUGAGUCCCUUUUGGGGCUUGUAUCGAAUUAUAUGCUUUCUUAUAAGCAUGGGUAAUUCUUUUUCGAAAAAAAAGCACCAGGUAUUUUUUUUCCUCUCUCGCGAUACUGCGAUAGAAAGGGCUGCAAAUUGGCAUGCUUCAUGAAGGUAGACCGGGACGAUUUGGUCGUGGAAGGCAUGAGGCUUUCGUCAACAGAACUGCUGUCGCGAGGCCUUUAAUCAGUUUAAGUGAGCGAUCGAAUUUGACGACCUCGCGCACUUGACCUGGUAUAUCGUGAUCAGCUAAGUACAUUAUUUCGCGAAUCAUAGGCAUGUCUCCUCUCUGCAGCAGAUUUGCCAUGUGGAUGCGUGUGCAAAGAAACGGAAGGCAUGGAAUCCCACGAGUCCGAGGUCCCGGGAUGCGGCCUGCCAGAACGCAACGACUCCAUCGCAGAGAGAACAACGACCCCGUGUCAAGAACGCGAUCGAGAUCCGGAUGGAAACCGGCAGCCGCAUCGUUUUGCACCCCUGCAGUUGGGCCGCCUGAUCCCUGUGGUGGAGAUCGCCGCCUCACCGGGCUCUUCCUCCGCCGACCGAGGCUUCGCCCCGCCGUCCCCAUCAUUAAAGAUGGCAACACGUAAAAUUCACGUGGAUAUACGCUUCGUGAAAAAAAAUUUAAAUUUGCAUCCACGCCUGCUACCCGUUACAGGUAGAAAAUCAUACCCAUACCUACUAUCUGUGAGUGCCCCAUGCCCGCGGGCACGCCUGUUUACCCCGCAUGCCAGGGGCCCGGGGUGCCAGGCAGCUAGGGCGCGAGCAUGGGCACAGCGAGAUCUGGAGGGAGAGGGAGUGGACGGCUGGUGGAGGACUGUAGAGAGGCGGCGCGCAGUAGGACCGGAGGAAGGGGCCGGGCGGGAGCGGGAGCGGGAGCGGGAGCGGCGCGCGAACUACAAGGGCACCGACGUCGCCGUGGGCGCGCGCAAGGGCGAGGCCCUGAGCCCUAGGCGUGCCGACCGGUCGGUGCAUGGGGAGAAGCCGAGGAGGAGGGGCGGCGCUCAGGGAGGAGGACGGGAGCGACAAUGCAGAAGGGGCAAAAUCGGGGGAGGGAGGGGGCAGUCGGGUGGGAGGCUGGGUGGUGGCGGCUAGGAGUGGGAUUUGGGAGCUAGUUGGAGAAAUGGGAAGAAAAUACUAAAGAUUCUUUAUAUAUACGGAUGUUUGGGUGCAUAUGUCAGCAGAUUUGGCGAGUUUAGGUAUCAAUUUUAUAUACCCGCUAGUAGAUGUAUGUUAGGUUUAGUGUUAUACCCGCGUCCGUAUCCACGGGCACAAACUUAGACCCGUAUUUAUGCCUACCGAGUUUAUUAUCCAUAAGAGCGGGGGGCGGCAGGGGCCAUGGCCCCCUGGUGAUCUAGAUAAACAAGCUUAGAUUACUGAUUUAGACUAAUCAUGAAUUAUUUUGAUCUCUAUUUUAAUAAUUAGGACUUCUAAUCAUUAGAACCAAGCACUGUUAGAUUUUUAUAGAUAUAAUGUCAUGUUCUGCUAUCCUACUUACCAUAUAUUUAAUUUAUUUUUUCUAUAGAUAAGCUACACGUUAUGCUAAAAUUGUGACUGACGUAGCUUUUUACUGACCAGAUACUGUCUAUAAUAUUCAUACAUAGGUAUGCGGAUAUUUCGACAUGUUUAGCCCCCACGCCCACAUCCGCCACCGCCCGCCCCGCCUCUUUUCAAAGCAUGGUCGACGCGCUCCGGCUGUGCGAGCCAUCGCCUCGCGCGCUCCUCCGCUCGUUGAGCUCCGCACGCCCCCCGCGUACUUCUACUACAACCACCAGCGCCUUGGCUUCCUUCCUCUGCCUACCGUACCAGUGCUCCGCCCCACCCCACGAGGCGCUCCUUCACUUCCCCCGGCCUUCCGCCGAUCUCGGCGCCGGACAUGCCAUUCUCAGCGCCGGCCUUCCCCUGGCCUACCGCAUUUUACUUCCGCUAGCAUAAAUAGUUGCAACAGCCGUCAAUUUUGUUCCGCUCUAGCGAUGAUUAGCAAUGCUCAAGUGAGAUUAUGCCCGCGCAAAAAAAUCUUCCGUAAUGACUUUUUUGACUCGUGUGUGUUAUGGGUCUUCACCUGGUUGCAUAGGGCGACGCGUAGCAUCAGCCCUAUUCCCCUCGAGACACUUGGCAGCUGACAGAAUGACAGCAGCUUCAUACGUUCAGUACCGCUCUCCGAGUAUGCGCAGCAUGAGGCGAUUGUGCUUGUUUAGCCUUCUUCAAGCUAUGAUACCUGAACAUGCGUGCGUGUACGGAUCAUGGCCCAAUGGAUGGUCCUGAAGAGAUCAUUUAACGUUUAACCCCCGUGUCGGGGCUUGAUUGAUUGACCUACUGACGGUGAACAUGGCGAUGAUUUUCUUCAUUGAUUUGCCGUGCAAGACGAUGGGGGUAGGUAGGACUCGUGGUCCAAAAUGAAGCCCGUAAAGGUAUAAACGGAAGCAAAGGUCACGGCGCCGUGCAAUACAACAAGUCACAACAGCAUUCGCGCCAUCUUCUCGCUCAAGCAAACCCCCGGGCAGCAGCUCGCGGCCACCGGACAGAAAUGGCGAGCCACGGCGAGGAGGCAAAGAAGCAUGUGGUGAUCUACGCCCCGGCGUCGAUGGUCAACAACAGCCACCUGGUCUCCAUGGCGGAACUCGGCGAGCUGCUCGCGGCGCGCGGCCUCGAGGUCACCGUCGCGCUCGGCGGGCGGACCGACGACGAGGCCGCCGAUUCAUUCGCUGACGGCGCCGCCGCCGCGCACCCCGCGCUCUCCUUCCGCCGCCUCCCGCCCGUGACGCGCCCGCGCGACGUGCCCGCCCACGACCACGUGGCGCUGGCCUUCGAACUCGCCCGCGCCUCCAACCCCGACCUCCGCGAGUUCCUUCGCGCCGCCUCCCCGUCCCCGGCCGCCCUCGUCCUCGACUUCUUCUGCGGCAGUGCCGUGCACGUCGGCGCCGAGCUCGGCAUCCCGACCUACUUCUUCUUCACCUCGUCCAUCUGCAUCCUGGCGGAGUUGCUGUACCACCCCGUGAUCCAUGAGCGGACAACCGUGAGCCUCCGAGACCUCGGUGGCGAGCGUCUAAACUUUCCGGGCAGCCCCGAGAUACCCGCGGAAGACCUCCCCGCGGCAUACCUCGACCGCGACGGCCUCACCCACAGGCUCUUCCUCGCCCUGUCCGAACAGAUGUGCGAAUCCCACGGCCUUAUCGUGAACAGCUUCCGCGCGCUGGAACCGCGCGCCACCGACGCCAUCGUGAACGGCCUCUGCACGCCGCCGGGGCGUCGGACGCCACCGCUGCACUGCGUCGGCCCACUGACGAAGCUGGACAAGGCCGGCGCGAACCGGCACGAGUGCCUGGCGUGGCUCGACACCCAACCGGAAGCCAGCGUCGUGUUCCUCUGCUUCGGCACCAUGGGCCGGUUCAGCGCGGAGCAGGCGAGGCACGUGGCGCGCGGGCUGGAGACGAGCGGGCAGCGGUUCCUGUGGGUCGUGCGCCGCCCGCCCGGCGAGGACGGCGCGGGGAAGCCGGCGGAUCCCGACCUGGACGCGCUCCUCCCCGACGGCUUCCUGGCCCGCACCAAGGGCAAGGGGCUGGUGGUGCCGUCGUGGGCGCCGCAGCGGGAGGUGCUGGCCCACGCCGCGGUUGGCGGGUUCGUGACGCACUGCGGGUGGAACUCGGUGCUGGAGGCGAUCGUGGGCGGCGUGCCGAUGCUGGCGUGGCCCAUGUACGCCGAGCAGCGGAUGAUCAAGGUGUUCCUGGUCGAGGAGCUGCGCCUGGCCGUGGCUCUGGAAGGGUACGGCAAGGAGGCGGUCAGGGACGAGGAGGUGGCUGCCAAGGUGAGGUGGCUGAUGGAGUCGGACGGCGGCAGGGAGCUCCGGGAGCGGACACGGGCGGCCAUGCGGCAGGCGAAGGCGGCGCUGAGCGACGGCGGGGAGUCGAGAACAGCGCUGCUGGAGCUCGCAAGCCAGUGGAAAAGGUGAAAGUUACUACUUGCCAAAUGGGCAUGGACGGCGAGUCGAGUCAAAAUUCAGAUACAAUAAAAAACAUGAAUAAGAGCCACGGAUCUCAAAAAUCAAAAUUCAGGUGAACGGGAACUUGGACUUUGCCAUCCUUCUCCUGCUCAGCAUCCGAACGAUCUUGUGUCACGAAACAUGAAUAAGAAAGUUGCAACACUGUAUCCAGAAAAUGCACAUUCCGACUGCACGGGGGACACGAGAAAGAGAAACGCAGCGCUCGUGUCGGACUGGAACUCUGCUCCUGUGCGUGGCCUCGUCUGAUCCUUUCAAUCGUGGGCCGAAAUCUCCAGGCCGUUCAUGAAGUCAACGAGCGCCGCCGUCGACGACCCGCCGAUCUCCAGCGCGGCGGCGGCCAUAUCCUUCGCCACCGCCGUCCUCUCCCUGAGCUCCUUCCCCUGCCGGGACUCCAUGACCAGCCUGACCUUGGCCUCCACCUCCUCCGCCUUCACCACGGCCUCGUCGUAGCCCUCCAUCACCACCCCCAGCUCCAUCCCCUCCGCGACGAACACCUUGUUCAGCCGCUGCUCCGCGUACAUCGGCCAGCACACCAUCGGCACCCCCGCCGUGACCGCCUCCAGCGUCGAGUUCCACCCGCAGUGCGUCACGAACGCGCCCGUCGCGCGGUGCCGCAGCACCUCCACCUGCGGCGCCCACGCCGGCACCACCAGCCCGCGCCCGCGCGUCCUGUCCAGGAACCCCUCCGGGAGCAGCGCCUCCAGCGCCGCCUCGCCCCGGCCCUCGAACCGCUUCGUCGAGUCGGCGUCGGGCGCGACGGGCGCGCGCACGGCCCAGAGGAACGCGUGCCCGCACCUCUCGAGCCCCGCCGCGAUCUCCCUCAGCUGCUCCGCCGGCACUGAGCUCGCGCUGCCGAAGCAGAGGAAGACCACGCUCCGCGGCGGCUGCGCGUCCAGCCACGUCAGGCACUCGUGCUUCCCCUCGCCUCCCCUCUCCUCGCCGACCAACGGCCCGACGCAGAACAGCCUCGGCACGGGCUCGCCGGGGCGGGGGCUCCCCUCUUGGAUCGCCUUCACGGCGCGGGGCUCCAACCACUCGAACGUGUUCACCAGUAUCCCCUUCGCUCUGGGCAGCUGCUCAAAGAGACAAAUGGUGGCCUCGUACUGCUCGUUGCGAGGACCAAGCAGGACCUCCGGCAAGUCGGAGGCCGGGACCGGGUGGACGCCUGGGAAGUGCAGCAAGGAGCGCCCCAUGUCCCCGAACGAGACGUCGGGCCGCAUGACGGGGAUGUGCAGGUAGGCAGCGAGCGGCGAGGCGCCCGACGUGAAGAACAGGUAGGCCGGGAGUCGGAGCUCCUCAGCGGCGUCGAGCGCGCACCCGCAGAAGAAGUCGAUGACGAGCGCCUUGACGGACGGGAGGGACCGCACGAACGCGAGGAGCGCGGGGGUGGUGGCUCGGAGGUCGGCGAUGAGCGUGAUGAAGGGGUCGGCAUCGGGGUCGGCCUCGUCGCCGGAGCGGGCGGUCGCCGGCGGGAGCAGGUGGAAGGAGACGGACGGGUAGGAGGCGGAGAGGCGCUCGACGGUCUUACGGGAGUCGCCGGACGACGGGACGUCGGCUAUGGCGACGGUGACGGGGACGCCGUGGCCGGCCAAGCGGCCGGCGAGCUGAACCAUGGGGUGGAGGUGGCCCCGAACCAUCCAUGUGUACAGCACCACGGCGCUGCCCAUUUGCUGUAUGUGGCACUGAUCUAUGUGCGCUCAGAUCAAUGGGGGAGUAUAUAUGGUGGCUGAGUGGAUUGUUGCCUGAUGUUUCGUGGUGUGGUCGUUGCUCUGCUAGCAGACGUGCAGAACAGCAGCAGCCAGAAGGUGCUGCAGGGACUUACGCAACUUUGUUGACAAUAAGAGGCGGGUAAGGGCCCGUUCGUUUCCGGCCUCUAAACCCCGAAACCUCUAAACUUUAGAGGUUGGGAUCCAAACGGCCCACUAGACGCGCUCCGAUGGCCAGUUUAGAGGUGGAGAAACUUUAGAGCCCGCGAGCACUCUAACGGCCUCUAAUCCGCUCGCUGCAGCUCACCUUUCCCAGCGCUGCCCCCCACCCCCCCGCGCCGCCGCCCCCUGCUGCGCGCCGCCGCCCCUGCUCCCCCCGCGCGAAGCUACCACUAGUCCGUCCCCAACCGGAUCCCCCGAUUCCCCCCGCAACCGCGUCGGCGAUGGCAUCCACGGCGUCCACCGGCGCCGGUGCCGGCGACGGCGAGAAGCCCUACGCGCACCUCGCGAGCCCGCUCCUCGCGCUGCCGCAGCCCCCGCAGCAGCCGCCUCCGCCGGUGCUCGUCCGCCUCCGCCGCCCGCUCCCCGGUGCUCGUCCGCCUCCGCCGCCUGCGCCCGCGCCGCGGGCGGGGCCUCUGUCGCGCCUGCGCCCGAACCCUCCCGCUCCUCCUCGCCCUCGCGCUCCUAGCCGGCGCAGCCUUCCUCCUCUACCCCUCGGCCCCCGCCGCGCGUGUCGAGGGCCUCCGCGUCGACCGCUUCCGCGCCGACCCGCCCGCGCUCGACCUUGGCCUCGCGCUGCGGCUCCGCGUCCGCAACACGGGCUUCGUCCUCCCGCUCCGCUACCGCGCGAUCUCCGCCGCCGUCUCGUACCGCGGCCACCUGCUCAGGUCCGCCCAGGCGCGGCCAGGGUCCGGCGAGCUCGCGGGCAGGGGCGAGGUGUACGUGGAUGCUGAGGUGUGGGUGGAUAGGGGGUAAAACUGUAAAUUUACUCACUUUAGAGGGCUGUAACGAACGCCUCUCUAAAUACCUCUAAAAUAUUUAGACCUCUAAUUUAUAGAUCUGUAUUUUAGACCCCUCUAAUACGAAACGAACGCACCCUAAGACUGAAGAUUUGCCACCUUUAUCAGCCGAAAGGGAAAAUGGAUGGAGAGAUCAUGGACAAAUUGUAAUCGCUGCCACUGCAACAGCUCUGACGGUGGAACGACCGCCUGGGCCUCGGGGCAGGGACACGGUGACUCGAGGUGGUAUGUCUGUCCUACGUGGGAGAUAGGCUGCCUGUAGACUUUGGAGUUUGGAUGCCAGGUGUUACAUGAUACUUGAGGUAAUGAUUUUUCUGGUUUCACCUCCUCAGUUAAAGUUGGUUUAGCGUUUCCUCACAUCAUAAUUAAUUAGUCUGCAAGACAAAAGAAGGCAUUGCGAUUAGGAAAAGAUUACAUCAAUCCUUGCACUUGAUCCGUACAUCACUCUGCAUUUUGUAAUUGCCUAAAACUCAAGCAAAAAGUAAGUGGAGGGUUCAUUCGAAGAAUGGAUGCUUACCAAGCAACCGCAAGAUUGAAGGAUUGGAAGAUGAACUGAACCCAUCCAAUGCUCAAAUGUAACUGAACUGACUCCAAUGUAAUCUUGCCCCACAAAUCAAAUUAUUUCUUCUUAUGAAAAAUGUAAUUCUUCCUUGCUGUAAUUUUAUCGCUGAGUGACAUGAACAUAGUCGGAACAAAAUGAUCUUUUGACUUUUGGAACUGAAGAAGCCAUCAUCAGGAAGAUAUACUUUUGCAUCAUCUGGUCUGCUUGAGCACUCAUUGUCUGAGGAAAUUCUGCUGAACACAUCUGCACCUGAGCUCUCAAUUACUGUCCCUGCACAUGCCUGUGCUUUCUGGUACUACAUACGGAGGCUACUUGGUACACGUAACUGAAAACCAUGAUUAGCAUCUGUUUGAAGUAUUCAAGGUGAAUGCAUAAAUAACAUAAAAUUUAGCUUGCAUUCAAUUAAAUGUGUAUUUUUAAUAGUAUAUAUAAUGAGAUGCCUAUCAAGUUCGUCUGGCCUCUCGUGAUUUUUUCCUGGUUCCACCAUUGUACACUUACACAAACUCACACCUAUAAACUUAACACAUAUAUCCUUACCUUUAUAAGCACCUCCAAGAGUGGUAUGGUAGAUAUUUAAAUUGAUGAAGUAGCCACAAAUGUCUUCCGGUCAACCGACAUGUCGCCUAUAGCUGAAGAAGUGAAAAUACAAGCACACAUGCUGAGUUGGAGAGUCAAAACAAAAGAAUUCCACCACAAGGAAUCUCACAUUUGGUUCAUGGUCUUGCUUCUCCGUGCAAUGCAUAUUCUUGUGAAUCAUAAACACUUCAUGAAAUUGUUUGGCUAAUUCGGUAUAUUUUGAUUAUUGAAAGAAUGCUCGUGAGACAAGUUGAGAUAAUUGAUUCGAUAAACACGUAUUGGGUGAUUUUACUAGUAGUAGUAAGAAAAAAGAAACACUUCUCUUAGUUUCUUGAGGGGACUAGGGACUGGUUUCUUGAGGUGCCAAGCAAGGACUUAGUAAGAAAAAAGUUAGUAUUUUUGUGAAAAAAGAUAAAAGGAAAGAGCUAAACCCCCUCAACAAUGUCCUAGAUAUUAGCAUCCAUUUCAGAAGCCAUCAUCCGUUUAUCUAUUACAUUUUAGAUAAAUGAAUAGUAAAUAUUUUGACCUCUACAAGAAUACCCGGCCAUUAUUAAAAAAAGGCAGCACCCUUCAAUACAAAAACCAAACAGAUUGAAAGCAAAGCCUAACUAUCUAUUACAUAGCAUCCAUCACUUGCAUUCUUCAUUCUAUAUAUAUAUGUCGAUCUUUCAUAAACCCCACAAAAACUCGCCAAGUUCGACAUAAGACGACCCGCCUUCUUUGAUGGCAUGUGCAGCCAUUUCCUUCGCCAUGGUCGUCCUCUCCCUGAGCUUCUUCCCUUCCCCGGACUCCAUCACCAGUCGCACCUUAGCCUCCACCUCGUCUGCCGUCACCAACUCCUCGUCAUAGCCCUCCACCGCCACCCCAACCUUCAUCUCCUCCACCAUGUGCACCUUGUUCAACCUUUGCUCCGCGUAUAAUGGCCAGCAGAUCAUCGGCACACCGGACAUGAUCGCCUCCAGUGCCGAGUUCCACCCACAGUGGGUCACGAAUGCUCCCACCGCCUCGUGCCGCAGCACCUCUGUCUGCGGCGCCCAGUUUUCCAGAACCAUUCCUCUGUCUUUGGUUCUCUCCAAGAAUCCAUCCGGAAGCAACGCCUCCAGGUCAGGCUCGGGAGAGUUGCUCUGCUCGCUUCGCACGGCCCACAAGAACCUGUGCCCUGAACGCUCUAGCCCGCGCGCCGUCUCUUUCAGCUGCGCCGCCGAGAAGGUGCCCAUGCUUCCGAAGCAGAGGAACACCACGCUUCGUUUCGGCUGCUCGUCCAUCCACUCGAGACACGCGUGCCACUCGCCGUUUUUGUUGGUGUCGCCACCGUCGACCAGUGGCCCGACGCAGUAGAUUUUCGGUGUCGAGCGGCCGGGCAGGCAAUGCCCAUCACGUAGCGCUUUCAGCGCCCUCGACUCCAGCCACUCGAAGCUGUUCACCAGGAUGCCUGUCGCUUCCGGCAUCCGGGCGAUCUGCUGCAGCCGCACCCUGCCCACGUCGCUCUCCCAAUCCUGCAUGCUGUCGGGCAUGUCGAGGGCGCGGACCGGCGGCACGCCGGAGAAUCCCAGCGGCGCCUUGCCCAUGUCCUUCGGCGAGGACGGCACCGCGCGGCGAAAAUCCGGAAGCUGGAGGUAGACCGCGAGGUCGCCGGCCGCGGACGGGUAGAAGAUGUACGCGGGGAUGGCGAGCUCUGCGGCGACGUCGAGCGCGUCGGUGCAGAACAUGUCGACCACGAUGGCGUCGACGGCGGUGGCCUGCGAGCGGAGGAACUCCCGGAGCGCGGGGCUCGCGACGCGGAGCGCGUCCAGGAUGGGUAUGAUGGGGUGGGAGUACCCCUUGUUGCUGGCGCGCGACGACGGCGGGAUGGGGAGCAGGCGGACCGUGAUGGAGGGACUGGCCGCAGCCAGGCGCGCCAGCGCGGCCGCCAGCACGGCGUCCUUCUCGGGCGGGUCGACGACGGCGAUGGUGACGGCGACGCCGCCGCGGCGGAGCAGGGCCUUGGCCAGCUGCGCCAUGGGGUUCAGGUGCCCCACGCCCAAGGAGGGGUACAGCACCACCGUCUUCUCCGCCAUGGCCUUGUGUUCCUCGCCGAGCUCACAAGAGAGUCCAACAAGAUCAAGGAGGGGCACAGGCACAAAAGGAGCCGUGGUGCUAUUGAUCUCCUUCCACGGGCCAACUCCCUCGCUUUACGUCCCCCAUUUGCAGCUAAACAUGAUGUACUUGUGGUGCCUGGUCCAUUGUCCUGGUGCAUCAGACGGGCAGCCAGCACAUGCUUCGCUCCUACUAGCAGAGGAGAAAGGGAACGUGUGGUCGCCGUCCCGUCUGCGAGGAUCAUGGCAGAACUCGCGUCAGCAUAUUCAGGACCACCCCGCCACCUCGGCGUCCUGAUGAACUGGGCCGCUGGGCGCGAUCCACGACACGAUGUAACUGACGGGCUCGCCACAUCUGAAGCGUCGGGCCACCUGUUUUUGGCUAAGGCAAGAUUCACCUGCUUUUUUCAGAAAAAAACAUCUCUAGCUUGUUUUUUUAUUACAGUAUGAAUUUGUGCCAGCCCUUCAUGCUACCUAUCUCCGAUCCGGAAGAAAAAAAAAUCGUUUUUCUCAUUUAUAUGGUAGCCAUAGCACGUCAACGACAAGAUCUAUAUACAUAUACGCCAUACUGGAGGUAGUAACGUUUUGACAUCAAUGUAUUUUUUUCUUUGUUAAACAACAUACAUACACAUACACAUACAAUAUUGUAAUCAGAUUAACAUAUUACCUUCCACUGUGCAAAGGUUAAGUUCGAUUUUAUAGUCGUAUAUUUUGCAAUAUUACUCUUGUAUAUACAAACGCAUAGCUCAAUUUGUAAAUUGCCAGCUAGCAAUUUCAAGUCCAACAGCCGUCUAUGAAAAUUGUUCAAAAUCUUAUCAUCACAAUGGCAAAUCUAAGGAGGUAUGUUACACACCUAGCAGAGCUUGAAGCCAAUAGACACACGGUGAAAAUAGUUUCUGUGAGGUACCGGAUUUUCGAAAGAGAAUCCGACUCUGUGUAUCGUCGUGACUCUCUGUAUCGUUGUGAUAGUCCCUGAUCAGUAGCUAUCACAUGCAGAACUCAUCUCAGACGGAUAUCUUAAUCAUACAUUGCAUAGAUUUAGAUAUGGAUUUAAUUUAUUACACAAUCUGAAGUAUUGUAUCACGAGUUUUACAAUACAAGCUUCUUGGGCUAAGGUGAAACGAACAGAAAACGGAAGCGGUAGCUAAGCUUCUGGGCCAUCCUUUGUCUUGGGGAACACCCCUCCACAGGCAACUUUGAGUGAAGUACGGGCCAUCCUUUAGUCAUCCUUCUUAGUCGGGGUUACGAUUCGGAUCAAAUCCUGCAUCUACCAACUAUCUCCAAGGAGUGGGAUAGGUUCACGUCACCAUCCGCAUGCAAGGUUUAAGUGGUCAGGUAUAGCAAAAUCAAGGAGGAAAGAUGGGGUUUCCUAUGCAUAAGCAGCACCAUAAGUUAUAUCAUCAUCCAAACUCCGAACUCGGGCCAUUACAGCAUUCCAGACUCCCGGUUCACACACACCUUCGAAAUACCACCGAAUCGGUGCGAGAACUCCCACUCCUCGCACCUCAGCUGCCCCAGGCAAAAGUCAAACACUAGAGGGAGGUAGAAAACAUGUGUAACACUAAUUAAUAAGAGUAACAGAAGAGUAGGAUUGUACAUGACCGAGUACACGUAUAGUUUUCACCCUACAGGGGUUGUACACCUAGACUCACUCGAAUCUAAGCUAGCUAGGAGCGACCCAACUGAACGAUGAGACACCGGUCUACUGAAACAGGAUUAGGAGCCACGGCACCAUCCGGCUUUCCCGGAUCUUGGGCGCAUCCUCCCGCAAGAGGUCGCUUCGGGAUUGUGAAGCCUCCCUUGCGUUUCGAGGAACAUGAGGUCAGCACCUCCUUCCCCUGCACUGAUACUCGAUCCUUCUACCGGCUUGGUACCGCACUCGCUAGCCCCGGACCGGGUCUACCCUCAUAAUGGGUAAGUGGUGUGCACGCUUAACAUAGUCCCACUAAUUAUAGUUACCCUCAACCGGUUCUCAAUUGCCGAAGCAAGCAUCUUCAUCACAUGCGUCUCCACCGUAAUGGUCCGCAGCUGCACCCAUUACGGGUGCCACCAACUCCUCAACCAAGUAACCACUAGAGACGUACCUGCCAUAGGCACACCAUAGAGUGUGCCAAGAUACACACUCCAAACCCUCGAUCCAAAGAUCAAGUUAAGGUGGCUUGCUCCCUACUAAAAGGCCUAUUCACCAACUCUGAAAAGUGUAUCUCCACUCACACUAAGACUAUCCAUGCAUCCCACACAUACACAUAUAAGGCAUAGCAAGGCAUCUCAUAUAAUUAUCAUGUAUAUAGUAUUACAAGAAGUUCAUGUAAUUAAAAUAGGCUAUGCAGGUUUAUCUCAUCAUAACAUAAGAUAAAGCACAACAUAUCUAGCGAGUAAUGCCUAAUAGGUAUUCAAAUUCGUAGAUGGGCGUGAACCUAGUGGUUCUUUGUAGUCUUCCGGUGUCUUCUGGUCAUCUGGGAAGUCCUCCUAGAUCUUCCGGUUGUCCGGGACGUCGGUCAAUUCCUUCUUGCGGGGACCUAAUCAUAAAUACAUAUAAAUAUAGGGACCAAAAUUCAAAAACACAUAAAAGUACUCAAAUAAGAUCCAAAUCACAACAAAACCUAAUCUAAUGGGUAGAUCAUGAUUUUAGAAGAAUUAUGAAACUGGUUUCAUAAUUUUUGCAGGUCCGGUUAAUUAAUUAUGAAUAUUCUAAGAUUAAUUUAUUUUUUGAAAUUAAUAAAAGAUUUUGGAAAAAGAACACACGGUCACCUCCACGUGUCAGUACCAGGGUGCGCUACGUGGCAUGCUGACGUCAUCAUGAGGUCAGCAGGUGGGUUGGAUCCGCUGACGUUAGCAGUGGGUCGUGUUGACGUCAGGGUUGACUGGUCAACGCUGACUAGUCAACGGUCAAUGGGGUCAGGUGGUCAGUGGGUCCUGCUGGUUAGUCACACCAUGUCACUGACAGAUGGGACCCACGUGUCAGGUCGAUGAAAGGAAAAAGAAAAAGAUUAGACGGCUCGGGCUCACUGGGCUGAAAGAUACUGGGCUGGCUCGGUCCAGCCCAUCAGGCUCGGCUUGGCUAAAUAGGCCGGCAUGCCGAGUUGGGUUGGUCUCGGCCCAAUGCGCCCGUCUCCUCCCCUUAUUCUCUUACAACUCGGCCCCGCAGGUCAGUUUCUCCCUCUCCCUACUCACACACGUUGACAGGCAUGGCCCACCGGUCAGUGGCUCGCCAGACCUGGUGUGGCAGCGCCCAGAUCCGGUGCGGUGGCUACGCGUGUGUGAGUCAAGUGUCAGUGGAGGUGGGUGUACCUGUGUGUGCCCCAAGGGCGUUCGACGAAAGGCCGCACUGGCCUGGCCGUGACACGAACGCGAUGUCGUGGUCGUGCUGGGGUGGUGACCGCACACCGUGAGUCCGUGAUGAGGCAGGCAUGACUGGAAUUGGCAGGUGUGUGCGCCGGUGCGCGGCCUCCUGGUGCUCCAGAGCCACAGCGCAGGGGCAGGACGGCGGCACAGUGUGGUAGGGUAAGGCGAGAUCACGAUGGCGGGGCUCGGGAAAGGGCAAAGGCACAGCCUUUUGCCGUUGGCUGGGGACGAGCUCACGCUCGGGAGCACAUGGCAGUCCAGGGCCGCGACGCGACGGUGCGGCGUGGCAAGGUGGGAGGAUGACCGGCGAUCAAGGGCCGUGAGGCAAGGACAAGGCUCGGCCUUGUGGCCGACGGCUUGGUGCGCAUGCACGCGCGCGGGUCUUGGUACCCCAGGACCGCGGCGUGGCUGUGCCGUGCGCGGGGCACCGGUGUUCCGAGCCCGCGACACGGUUACAGCGGCGAGAGGGCGACGGCGGCUGCAGGAAACAUGGCGGCACUUCAGGCUCCUGCACGAGAAGGGGUAGGAUUGGGGAUUAUAGGGACCCCUGUUGGAAGGUUCAUCGAUGUCGGGGAGCUCGUCGGCAGUAGGAGGGAGAACGGGAAGGGGCGGCGGCACCUACCAGCGUGGUUGACAAAGGCGGGGACGGCACUGUUACGGGGGUGCGGACGUGACAAGGUGAGGCUGUGCGGGUAGCGCAAGGACGUCGGUGUCGUCGAGUGGGGCGCUGGCGUGGCGGCGAACUCCAACGGCGGCGGCGUGAGGCAAUUCCGGCGGUGGCUUCUUCAGCUGGGACAGCUCCCCCUUGGCUUGCGCGUCUUCGAUCGGUGGUGGCGUCGGGCUCACGGCGGCGCUCGUAGGCUCUUGAGCGGGUGGCUCCUCCUCCUUGGGCCCACCUCCUUCUCCUCCUCUUCCUCUUCUCCCCCUCAGGUAACGGCGGCGGACAAGGGGGAAAACCCCAAAGACAGCUAGGGUUUCGGAUCCGGUGGCUGGGGCUUUUGUAGGCGGCUAGCUAGGGUUUGGCUCGGUCGGUUGCGCGAGGACGACGGGGAUCCUCGGCGUCCAGGCCGUGGACGCGUGGCGCGGAUCCGAGGGGGUCCCGGGCUAGGGUUCGGGAUGCAGCUCGAGGCUUGGUGACCGAUAGGGGAGGUGCGGCGGCAGGCGUGACGCAAGCGAGGCAGCACGGCCGUUGCACUGCUUUGGCGCAAAGCGAGGGAGGCGAGGCGCUGGGGGGAGUGCACGCGCGGGCGGAGACGGUGAGGGAGCGGGGUGAGGCGCGGUUGGAGGUGGGAGAAGGGAAAGCUGACGAGUGGAUCCCACUCAUCAGUAGCUCGAGCGGUGGAGAAGGGGUAAGCCCGACGAGGUCGCGGGCUGGGCCAGUUAACGGGCCAUGUGAGGGUGUGCUGGCAGGCCGGCUUAGCCAGCUGGGCUGGAUUAUGGCUGGUUUUUAGGUAGAGUAGGUUAGUGGGUCAGGCCGGGUUAGGGCUGGAUUGGGGUUAGAGUCAGCGGAUCAGGUUAGGGCUAGGGCCAAGCGUUUUAGAGACUUAGGUGGGUCCACGCAGGGUAAGUUAGCUUUUGAAUUUAAAUUUAAAGGGCACACUUCAAAUUUAAAUUUCACAUAAUUUCAAACCAAGAAAAUAAAUCCCAGAGCGAUUUCAAAUAAACAAGAUAGCUUCGAUUAAAUCCUAACAACUCCAAUUAAAUUCAUACUAACAAGAAUAUCCUUAAUCCAAACCAAACCAACAAAUUCAAACAAGCCAAUUCGGAAGAACUCGAAUAACUCCAAAUUAAAUCACAUUAAUAGAUUAGUUUAACACUUAUAUAUUAGGUUUUAUUUUGCUAGGAAUUUCGGAUACAAGAGAGAUAUCCUUAUAUUAUUCCCAGAUUCUAACACUUACAUAAGAAGUUUUUAAAAUUCACGAUUUUUGCAUCUUAGAACAUUCCGGAAAAAAUUCGGGAUGUUACAGUUUCAUUUUAUGGCUUCUGAUUUUUUUUUGAGACAAUAUGGGGAGAAGGGCUAGUCAAAGUUCCAUUAAAAACAAAGAACAAUUGUGGGUCCAUCACAAUUCGCUUUCUUUCGUACAAAUCCUGUUCUUUUGCAAGUCUGUCAGGAACUCGUCAAAUACCACGUCAGAUGACCCGCCUUUCUUGAUAGCAUCUAUAGCCAUCUCCCUAGCCGUCGUGAUCCUUUGCCUAAGCUCCUUCCCGUUAUCAGGCGCCAUCACCAAUCUCACCUUUGUUUCCAACUCCUCUGCUUUCACUAGCUCCUCCUCGUACCCCUCCACCACCACGCCCACUUUCAUCUCCUCCACCAUAUGCGUCUUGUUCAUUCUUUGCUCCGCAUACAAUGGCCAGCAGAUCAUCGGCACUCCUGACACGAUGCCCUCUAACACCGAGUUCCACCCACAAUGCGUCACGAAUGCUCCGACGGAUUGGUGCCGCAGCGCCUCGCUCUGCGGCACCCAAUUCUUCACCACAGACCUCCUCUCCCUAGUCCGGUCCAAGAAACCCUCCGGAAGCAACGAUUCCAAGUCUGGCUCGACGGAGUUGCUCUGGUGCUCAGGUGGGUUCCGCACCACCCACAGGAACCUCUUCCCGGAGUUCUCCAGCCCACGCGCCAUCUCUCUCAACUGCGGGGUGGAGAACCUGCCCAAGCUGCCGAAGCUGAGGAAAACAACGCUCCGGUCCGGUUGGGAGUCCAGCCAUUCGAGGCACGCGUGCCUCUCGCUGAUCCCUUCCGCGUUUCCAGGGAGGACCAACGGCCCGAUGCAGUGGACUGGCGGAGUCGAACGCCCGGGCGUGCAGAGGCCACACCUGAGCGCUUUCAGGGCCCGCGACUCCAACCAGUCGAAGCUGUUCACGAGAAUGCCUCUCGCGUCGAGCAUGCGCGCGUACUGGGCAAGCCGCGCCUUGGAGACGUCGCUGUCCCGGUCCUGCACCGUGGUCGGCAUGUCGAGAGCGCGGAUCGGCGGCACGCCGGGGAAGUGGAGGACGGCCUCGGGCAUAUCCUUGAACGAGGACGGGGCGGCGGGGUAGUAGUCCGGCAGGUGGAGCAUGACGGCGAGGUCGCCGAGCGCGGAGGGGAAGAAGAGGUAUGCGGGAACGCCGAGCUCGGCGGCGACGUCGAGCGCGUCCGUGCAGAACAUGUCGAGCACGACGGCGUCCACGGCGGGGACCUGCGCGCGGAGGAACUCCCGGAGCGCCGGGUUGGCGGCGCGCAUCACGUCGAUGAUGCGCAUGACGAGGUGGGGAUGGUCCUCCCUGCCGCAGGGCGGGAUGGGGAGGAGGCGGAACGCGACGUUCGGGUUCGCGGCGGCGAGGCGCGCCAACGCGUCGGCGGACACGGAGUCCUUGUCGGGCGAGUCGACGACGGCGAUGGCGACGGCCAGGCCGCGGCGGAGGAAGAUCUUGGCCAGCUCCACCAUGGGGUUCAGGUGGCCGACGCCCAGCGAGGGGUACAGGACCACCGUCUUCGGCGCCGCGACGGCCAUGGGUCACAGUUCUCGUUCUUGACGAGGGAACGGAACGCGACAUUGAAAUACGGGGCCACCUGUUUAUUCUAUAUAUAACGUGAAGCGGCAGGGCCUUUGGCCUGUCCAGUUGUUUGUCUUUGAAUGGCUGCCGUUGUUUCCAUGUGUUCACUUCCAAUUCAAGUCUCACGUUGAGCUGGAGAGAGCCAAAUCGGCAACGUGUUAAGGCUGCCCGGCUGCGUGCCCGGGAUCAAUGGGCGGCGCCGGCGCUCCUCUUGUUUGAAGUAACCGCUUCGAAAUGUGCGCAGACAAACGGCGAGCUCUUUAAUCAUCUUGGCCUUGGCAACGCAUCACGGGUUCACCUUUUGCUUCUAACAUUUAAAAUGAAAACAUUUCUAGUCAAGAACGCAUCUAAAAAUCCUCAACAUCUAAAGAUUUCCGAUCAACCAAGAUUGGAGUUGUUGCGACUAUUUAUGUUUGUGGCGACUAUCUGACCGAAAAAGAAGCGCCGGUAGUCAGAUCUAGCCCAUAGAGCGAGUUGGGCCACAGCUAGCUAGGUCCAUUUCUGGAUUGAGGCGUGCGGUGGACUUAGUGUAAAUAUCACACUUUUGCUUACUUAGAUUGCUCUCUCACGUUGUAAAUUAUAGAUUUAUCUAAUCUACUAGCUAAUUGGUAGGUAACUAAUUUUAGCUAAGGUGAAUCCGAAUAGGACAAACUAAUUGUCAGGUAAAGUCCUUCUAUAUACCUAAAUAUUAGCUAUCUAAUUAGCCGAUCCAACCUAAAUAAUUUAUAGCCUCUAAUGGAUUAGCUGGGUGGAUCCAAACAGGCUUUAUGAAUAAAAAUUUGCGAUCCUCACUUUUCAGAAAAGAAAAAAAAAUGGCGAUCUUCAAACUAAGUAGGAUUGAGCACAUCCGAUUUUUGGACAAUUGUUUCCAGGAUGACAAACUUCUAGCCUUCUACGGUUCCCAACCAAGCAAUAAGCAAAAUCUUCUUUACCCACUUUUUUUUUAUUAUAGCUGAUAUUCUAUUUGUAGAAGGUACAAAAUAUGGUUGGUCAAACAAUGAAAGGAUAGCAUAGAAUGAUAGAAUAUUAUAAGAUAAAAGGUAACACAAGCUACAAAUCCAUUAGUGGGCGAGCUCCUCUCCAAGGUUCUCCACGUCCAACAAGAACUGAACAAACGCUGCGUGUGACGAGCCUCCUACCUCUAAUGCCGCCUCUGCUUCUUUCCUUCGUGCCACCACUCGUGCCUGGAGCUCCCUCCCCUCCUCAGACUCCAUCACCAGUCUUACUUUUGCCUCCACCUCCUCGGCCUUGAUAAAACCUGUCCUAUACCCCUCUAUCUCUACUCCAACACCCAUAUCCUCAGUCAUGAAUAUCUUGUUCAUCUUCUGCUCCGCAUACAAGGGCCAGCACAACAUCGUGACCCCCGCCAUGAUGCCCUCCAUCGUCGAGUUCCAUCCGCAGUGGGUCACGAAUGCGCCUGUAGCUGGGUGGUUCAGUACAUCCACCUGCGGUGCCCAUGACUUGAUAACAAGGCCUCGAUCCUUGGUUCGCUCCAAGAAACCCUCCGGUAGGAGGGCAUCGAGGUCCGGCUCACAUGGUUUGUCCAAUAACCUCUUCGGAUCAUUGAUGUUGGCCGGAACGCGCACGACCCAUAGGAACCGUUGCCCGGACUUCUCCAGGCCAACGGCGAUCUCCUUGAGCUGCUCGACGGAGAAUGUGCCCAUGCUCCCGAAGCAGAGGAACACGACGCUGCGCUCCGGCUGAGCAUCGAGCCACGCGAGGCACUCGUGCCUCUCUGUUUUCUCGCCAUUCCGUCCGCCGCCGCUGACCAACGGCCCGACGCAGUAUACUGGAGGCAGCACCUUGCCAGGGAAGCACAGGGGAUCCCUGAGUGCCCGCACCGCUCGACUCUCGAACGACUCGAACGUGUUCACCAGAACCCCCCUGCUGUUCAUGCCGCGCUCAAAGAUGCUCACCAUGGUCUUGCACUGCUCUUCCUCGGGGUGCGCGAGCAGUUCCGCGAUCAGGUGGGACGCCGGCACGGGCGGAACGCCAAGGAACUCGAGGGGCGUGUCCCCCAGCUCCUCCAGACCCGUCUGCCUGCCGGCCAACAGCGUCGGGAGCUGGGUCACCACGGCCAGCGAUGACGCGCCCGAGGGGACGAACGUGUAAGCCGGGACGCCCAGCUUCGCGGCGACGUCGAUGGCGUCGACGCAGAACAUGUCGAUGACGAGCGAGUGCAAGCGCUGCCGCGGGAUGGAGCGGAGGAAGCCCUCGAGCUUGUCGUUGUACUGGCGCAGCAUCUGCAGCAUGAGGAGGAACGGGUGCUUGGGGGAGCCGGCGAAGUCGGGGGCCGGGAUCGGCGGGAGGACAUGGAAGGAGAUGGACGGAUUGGCCGCGGCGAUCUGCUCGAUUUGGCUGGCGCCCAGUGCGGACGACUUGAAGGGCGGUGGGACGAUCACCAUGGUGACGUCGUAGCCGUGGCUGAGGAAGACCCUGGCGAGCUCCGCCAUGGGCACGACGUGGCCAACGCCGGCGGCGGGGUACAGGAUGACGGUCUGCUUCAUUUGCUUAAGCGGUGGUUCGCCUUCGCCAACUAGAAACUAGGAACAAAUAUUUCGGAACAAAUAAGGAUGCUUUCGCUCGAGUUAUCCUGGGAGAUGCUUGGCUAGCUGCGUAGUUAGGCAGGCAACAUUUUAUAGCUGCGUACUGCCUUGCCGGAGAAGCAGCCUGAUGAAUCGUUUGGUCAGAGGAGAGAUGCCUUCUAACUACUGCUGUAUAGAUAGCCAUGUUUGGCAGCAUGUCAGGAGAUGGAUAUGGGAGGAUGCUUCCUGGCAAUCUGUAUUUUCUAGUUUCUAGAAGAAGCAAGACUUGAUCACCUUAUUUAUGUAUGAUUGUGCUUGCGGUACAAGCUGUAACUAGGACUUUUACGUUUUAAUAACCAAAAACUGUUCUAAAGAAAAUUAAAAAGUUAAUAGUACCUUACAAGUUGCAGAUCAAGGCAAAGGUGGAGCUUGAAGGAGUCAACAGAGGGCCAGACUGAGACAGCCUGUGGUUCAAAUUCCCGGUAAGAAAUGGUUUUAUCUUACCAUUUUAUUACCACACAAGUAGCAGUAGCAAUGGACCGGAGGGAAAACAAAUAUAUGUCAUAGUCGGUUCACCUCACAUCAGUCAUCUCACAACUCUACUUGUUCCAAGUCUUCCAUGUACCCUGCUGUACACGUUAUCACCGUGACCUUUGAAUGUGUGGAACCGUUUCAUCGAGGCACGCAUGAACUCCGCUUUAGUCCACUCAGCCAUCUCUCCCCGUUCCAAAUCAAAAGGUUUUCGUGAUAUGAGAGAGGCAAGAAAUAACGAUUGCAAAAAAUCCUUCCUUUUUUCUUUCAUUUCAAAAGUGCAUAAAAAUUAUAUUGCCAAUUCCAUUUUAAUUACAUUCUUUUUUCUUAAUGUUAAUAAAAAAGAAGAAAAUUCUUGUUUUUUCUUUCCUAAAUUCGAUAUAGGCUGGGUUGAGAUGAGAGACAAUCAGAUAAAUUUUCUCUUCAGCGGGCAGUUCCAUAUAGGAUUUGUUAGAAUAAAAACAAGUAGGUUAUAAAAAAAACUCUUUUUUCCGAUUAUUUAUCCACAAAGCAAAAAAAGGUUCUUAUCAGACCCACAAUAAAAUUAGAAAGAAAGAUAAAGUAAGUAGACCUGACCCCUUGAAUAAUGCCUCU
rnacentral:lncRNA from 1 species